rnacentral:lncRNA from 1 species
AAUAAUAAAAGAAUUGAUACUGAAUUAUUAGAAAGAAUAGUGCUAGAUCUGGAAGGAAGGACUUCAAUUAUAGAAUCUGAGUCUUGCAGGACUACGCAUAAUCUUAACAGAACUAAUAACACUUGUGCAAAAGAUUUACCUGUAGAAUCUGUCCAUGUAUCAUCACCUGAGGAGUCAAUCAUGGGAAGAUCACGAGAAAAUGAGCACUUGAUGGAGUUUCUUGGGAAAAUUCUUCAGCAGGUUGCACAUGUUUCCGUGAUCAUCUUUUUUCCGUCUUUUAAUACUGAGCUAAGGGACAUUCUCUCUCUUUCACGCAUAUCCAAAACACAUGUACAUAUUUCUCAUAUUUCUAUGCGUAUAUAUUAUCAUUUCUGAUCUUUCUUAGUUUAUAUGAUAAUUGUCUUUGGGCAUAUGAUUCAUAUUUGCUGGGCAUCCUAUGGUCUGUGGGUCAAUAAUAAUCCAUAGUAUCUGAAUUUCUUGACAAAAUUGGUCAUUUUGGCAAAUCAUUUGGACGUAUCUAUGCAGCAGUUUACUAUUUUAGUGCUUGCAGGAAUUGGUAUGCUUAAAUUUUGGGCUUAAAUUGUGGGAAAAUAAUCAAAGUGAUAUGCAAAUUAAUUCAAGCCACACGAGGAAAGAAUAUCCUUUCUUUUUUUUUUUUUUUAAGCUUAUGUUACAUGUUUCUCUGUAUGGCAUAGGUAGUUCGAAGUGAGAGUAGUGCAGAUAUGUGGGGAUUAUAUGCAAGGUGGCUUAAAUGUAAAGGAGAUCUUACAAUGUGCUCUGAAGCCCUCUUAAAGCAAGUCAGAUCAUAUCAGGUUUUUCCAUAAAUCUCAUCAUCUUAUAAUAAGUUAGCAUUAUGUUUUACUUUGAUGUUGAUGGAAUUUGUUAAUGCUAAUCAAAUUUUGUUAAUCUCUCUCUCUCUCUCUCUCUUUUAAAAAGAAGGCAAAGAAAAAGCUGUGAUUUCAUUUUUGUUUUCUAAAUUUGUUAAAUAAAGGAAUGACAAGUUGACAACUCAGCCUCUCUCUCUCUCUCUCGCUCUCUCUCUGUGUCUGUGUCAGGGAUCUGAUUUGUGGAAAGAUAGAGAUCGGUUUAAAAGGUUUUCAUAUGCAUCCUUGGAACUUUGUAAGGUUUACACGGAAAUUUCUUCCUCUUCUGGUAGCCGUCGAGAACUCUUUGCUGCUGAGAUGCACCUGAAGAACGUACUUAAACAAGUAAAACACCUUAUAAUUUGAUAUUUAGGACACUUACAGUUGGUUUAAAGAUUGCAUUUUCCGUUUCUGUUUUUGACUGGUUCAGGGUAAAACUUUUUCCCACUGUGUUAGAGUGCAUUUCUGUUAUUAUAUAGUUUCUUAGAAGAGAAUGCGCUUUUUGGAAUCUCAGGCUGAAGGAUUUGCUGACAUGGAAGAGUUCAGGGAUCUUCAAGCUUGCCUUGAUGAAGUGAAGACGAAACUCCAAUCUGGUCCCGUGGCUACCUAAGUAUCAGGAACGUGCUAUUUUUGAAUAUCAGGAAUGUGCUAUUAUUUUAGUUCGUACUGUAGUUGAGACCUUAACCAUGACUGAAUAUCUUGUAUUGCUGUACCACCUUUUCUGUAACAAAACAGUCUAGUUUUAGUAUUUUUAUUAUUUUUGUAUUUUCAGUGCUGUAACUAAUCUCAUUUGACAAUGUAAAUAUAUGGCUUCAAGUUAUUUAAAUGUAAAAUCAAGUGUUGUUUUCAACCUCUGUUCUUUUAUGUAUAGCUUACAUGCCGUGAUUUCAUUAACCUCAAUUUAAGGACAAUUUCAUAUCUUUUUUCUUUCUGCUUUUCUUUUAUCAUUUAAGAACAAAUAUGAAUAUAUUUCAGACAGCAUUUAAACAAAGCAACCGAACGUCGCUGGUUUCUAUUAUUACAUUGACAGCAAUAAAACAAAGAAGCAACUGAAAGUUAUCUUCAUAUGAGAAUGAAAGCUUUUCAGCAGCAUAACACUAUUCAUUUCCAAACGAGUUCCUCAACAUGAGAACAAAUUCGUAGACCUUUUCUGGGUCUGGAAGGAUCCUGGCAACAGUUUCCCUUUGCAUGCACUUGUUCAUCCAAGCGGAGAAUUUGGGGCACUCAUUCGCAUCCUUAAAUCACCCAAAUUUCUCAACCGCGUAAAACCAACAAAUUUCUCAACCCCCAAAUUUGGGACAUCAACGAAUCCAAAGCUAUCCCCGCCAAAGAAAUCCUUCUCCCCUAAAGCUCCCUCUAGUUGCUUCAAUAUCUCUAUAAAUUCAUUCUUUGCCGUCUCCUGUGUUUUAAAAAAUCUAUUGUAAUGGAUCUAUUGUAAAUUUAUCUAACUGCUUGUUAUAAUGCUUCUAUUGCGGUGUUAUUCGAGUUGUCAUUUUCAGUUUUAUUUUAUUUGUUCUUUAAACAUAGUUAAUUUGAAAUGUUCUUUAAUAUCCAUUACACUUGAGAUCAUCAAAUAAGUGAUUCUUGAAUAUAAUUGCUGUUGUUACUCGAAUAAGAAAAGAAAACAAAAAAUAGCUAAGGUAAAAGUAAAUGGAAAUGAGAGCAACGUGAUUUUGCAAAGAGAACUUCACACUAUCAUAAAACCGAAAACAUUACAAUUUAAAGCUUUAAUAACAACACAUCAAAGUCAAAUAACGACCCACUAGAAUCAUGGUCCAAAGAUUGUGCCAUGAUCACAACAUGAACUACAAAAAAAUAACCAACACCAGAAAAGUAGGAACAGUUUGAAACUUUCAACUAAGCAGCAUUUAUGAUUCCACAUCAGCAGCCCUAAACACAUCUUCUAACAAUCGCAACUGCUCAUUUUUGCUUCUGCCAAUAAAGAGUUGAUUGUAACCAAAGAUUGUUGUCUUUAUUGUCAUUUGAGAGUAACAAAUUACUUACGCAGUCACGUAAGUUGUUGGUUGGCCUCGCACAUUUUUGAGAAGUUUGUUUCUGAAGGAAACCAGCUGAGCCGCAACCUCUUCCAUGCUCAUUCGUUCUCUCGGCAACUCUGAAGAGCAAAUGGCUCCGAUUCCCAGUACGGAAACCAAGCACUCUUUACCACUAAAACUUCUGGUCCAUUGUUUGUGAGCAUUGGCGUUGCUUUUCUCCCCUUCUUCUCUUUCUACAAGAAGCACUGGAUCAACAAUUUCAGCGAGUCUUUCAGGAAGAGCUUCCUUGACAAAAUUAUGUAGGGUUAGAUUGCCUGUAAACAUUUCAUUCGUCGGCCUCUUUCCUGUAAACAUUUCCAGCAAGAGUAUUCCAAAACUGUACACAUCUCCACUUGUUGAGACUUCGCUCCCCAUUCCGUACUCUGCAAUUCGAAAACUAAAAUUGUUGGUUCAACUAGUAAAAUCUCAAAGGAUUGAAAGACAAGUUAAUUAAAUAAUAGUAAUUACCUGGAGCAGCAUAACCAACGGUUCCUUUUACUCCAACAGAGCUUGAUUGAUUAGAUGACAAGUUAUUGGUGGCUUCCGGAAGGAAUUUUGCUAAUCCAAAAUCACCUACAUGGGCAGUCAAUUCACUAUCCAGAAGAACAUUGCUUGGCUUGAGAUCACAAUGGACUAUUGGAGUUUCGCAAUAAUGAUGAAGAUAAUCCAAUGCAGAAGCAACAUCAACGGCAAUACUCAGUCUUUGCAGGAGAUUUAGAUUCUUAAGUGCCUCACGGUUUGGAUGCAACCAUUCCUCCAGGCUUCCGUUAACCAUGAACUCAUAAACUAAAGCCUCGAAAUCAUUUCCUUGGAAGUCAACACUUGCACAGGAAGUUAUUAUUUUGACGAGAUUCCGAUGCCUAAUAUUUCUCAAGGCCUGACACUCCGCUAUGAAACUCUUUGAAGCUCCUCGAUGUUGAAGAUUAAGCACCUUAACUGCCACCAGCGUUUCAUGAUCAUCAUGAUUGAGGACUCCUUUAUAGACCGAACCAAAGCUACCGGCACCAAUCAAGUUUUCCAAAGAGAACCCGUCAGUUGCUUUGAACAGAUUCUCAUAGGACACUCGUAAAACCGAAGCCAAGAGAGCUGAUGGAGGAGUGGCCGGCUUCCUUUUUGAUUUGCCCCGCCAGGAAGUAAUUAUCAAACACGACAUCCCUGUUACUAACAAAAUUCCUGUAACAACAGGAAUAAUCAGUUUCAGGAAACGGGAACGUGAUUGCAUUGAUUCUUUGAUGGAACAAGUAGAUAAAUGCAACUCAGAUAUGCCACCACAGAGGUUAUCAUUUCCGUCAAGAGAUAUAGCACUCGAAUUGCUGAAGACUCCUUUUAUUGGUACUUCACCCUCAAAAUGAUUAAAAGACAGAUUUAAAUUCUGCAAAAAGGGAAAGUUUUCCAGAUAUUUUGGAAUUCGGCCAGACAAAUUGUUCCUCGAAAGAUCAAGAUUCUCAAUGCCUCUCAAAGAACUGAAUGAUGAAGGGAUAUUCCCUUGAAAGAAAUUACCAUUCAUGAUGAGUUGUACCAACAUAAUGCAACUUCCUAUACUGCUUGGAAUUUCACCAGACAAUUUGUUCUCCGAUAUGUCUAUAAAACCCAGAUUUUUCAAGAUACCAAAAUUAGAGGGCAAAGGACCAUUCAAAUGGUUUUGAGAUAGAUCAAGAUAGAUUGACAAGGAAGAGAGGCCAAUCACUUCAGUGGGUAUGGUACCACUGAGGUUGUUAUUGGAGAGAUCUAAUAAUAUCAAGUUUUGGCAUUUCCCUAGACUUGAUGGAAUGUUUCCCUCUAACAUGUUUUCCGCAAAAUCUAGUAUAGCUAACGAUGUCAAAUUUCCUAUAGAAGAUGGAAUUUCCCCCCAAAACUUGUUCCCCAGAAGCCACAACGUCUGCAGCUUAUGAAGAUCUCCUAUACUUCCCGGAAUUCGGCCUGUGAAUUGGUUGCCCCCAAGGUGUAAAAGCUCUAAGUUAACAAGAUUUCUUAAUCGAUUUGGGAAAUUUCCGAACAACUGAUUGUUUCCAACUAUUAAUAUUCUAAGUCGGGUUGACAAGUUCCCCACAGCUUCAGGUAACAUUCCACCAAAAUUGUUGUCACUAAUUUGCAGUAGCUCUAGUCUGGAAGCGUUGACCAAAGAAUUGACAAAUUCCAAGUCAUCCUUUUUCCCAUUUCCUAAGUGAUUCAGAUAAAAACUAACCCAUUGGAGUUUAUGUAAAUUUUCCAAACUAGGCACCUUUCCACUGAAUCCAUUCAUUGGGAUUGUAAGUCUCAUUAGAUUUGAGGCAUUGGAUAUUGAAGCAGGAAUAGGCCCAGUAAACUGAUUACCACCAACGUUUAAUCGUUCAAGAUUAGGCAGAGUGAAGCCUAAGUCUGAUGGAAGGCUUCCUUGAAGUUGGUUAUGAGGGAAAUCCAAAUAAUUAAGCGAAGACAAGUUGUAGAUUGAGAAAGGGAUUUCACCUGAUAGCUUAUUUACUCCCAAUAAUAUAUCACGCAUCCUCUUUAGCUGACCCAGUGUUUCAGGAAUUUGUCCCACAAAUUGAUUUGCAGCUGCUGAGAGGACCUCGAGUGAUGACAAAUUGCCCAAGGAAGAUGGGAUUUCUCCCGAAAAAUUGUUGUAGUGUACUGUGAGCAUCCGGAGCUUUGAUAUGGAGCCUAGUAACCCAGGAACUUUCCCCACAAGCUCAUUGACGCCUAACCUGAGGGAUUCAAGGUUAACGCAAUGCGAUAUGUUGUCAGGAAUUUGACCUCCGAAUGUAUUGUUGUUCAGCUCCAAAAUUCGUAACCUGAACAGAUAUCCAAUCUCUUGAGGGAUUUCGUUGCGGAAGCUAUUGUUUUUGAGAUCUAACACUCUGAGAAAACUCAAAUUACCAAUGUGAGGCGACAGAGACCCCUGCAAGAGUAAAGAUGGAAGACGUAAUCCAGUCACCCUUUGGUGCCGUCGACUGCAAGUGACACCUUUCCAUUGACAAAAGUGCCUGGAAUAGUUCCAUGAUCUCAAAACCUCAAGAGGGUCAUGAGUAACUUUGGCCUUGAAUUGAAGCAAUGCAAGUUGAUCAGUUUCAUUGCUUUUGAGCAUAUAAUCGGUUGAUUGCAAGCUGAAGCUGAAGCAACAUAAAAUAAAGAAACAAAUGCUUACAAUGAUUGAACUCAUCAUGUUUACAAAAUUCAUUUAACUGCCGAAGGAAAUUAAAAUGAUAAAACUUUUAUAGAGGUUUGUAAGAUAAAAUAUGUUUGUAUAUAUUUUGCAAUGAUUUAUGGACUCUGUCUUUGAUGCUCAAAUGUGAACCAGGUGGCACCGUGACAGUGAAACUAAUACUUUUUCUUUUUCUAAUAAUAUUAAUUAUCAUAUUUAUUACUAUUGUAAGAAUAAUAUACUGCAGCUUUAAAGAAAGACUCACCAUACUCUCUUUUGAGUUUAAUCACCAAUAUUGAAAAGGAAAAAAAAAGUAGGGCAAGAGAAAGGUAAAUACGAUGGGUGGAGUGUUAAGACUACUGUUAAAUGAGUUGGGAAACGUUCAAAGCACGAUGGGAAUUAAAGAUUCACAACACCUUUUUUCUAAAAUUUUCAAUACAGUCUCCCCCAAAAUUUGCUAGUGCAACAAAGAGACGUCGCGCCGUUAACAAUUUUAAACUGUAAAUGACAUGUCGUUUUCACAGAAUUCGUUUAACUGCCGGAGGAAAUUGAAAUUAUAAACUUUUAUAAAGGUUGGUAAGAAAAAAUAUACUUGCACAUAUUUUUUUUUCAAUGAUUUAUGGACGCUGUACUUGAUGCUGAAAUGUGAACCGGCUGGCACCGGGACAGUGAAAUUAAUGCUUUUUGUUUUUCUAAUAAUAUUAAUUAUCCUUUUCCUUUAAGGAAGACCCGCCACACUCACUUUUGACGCUCUAUCAGUUUCCAGCAUGUUGUCGUUUUGUAUUUUAGUGCAUUAAAGAAAUCCACAAUGAAUAUAAAAUAAUUUAAUCAACAGUAUUAGAAAAAGAAAAAAAGUAGGAUAAGAAAGUUAAGUAUGAUGGAUGGAGUUUCACAUUUCUGUUAAAUGACUUAGGAAAUGUUUAAAGCACCACAGGAAUCAACGUUUCACACGCUUUUUAGAUUUUUUUUCUAAAAGGAAAAAGAUAUUCUCACGAAAGAAAGUACAAAAUUUCACACAAAACGGUGCAUUUAAAUAAAGUAAAAUUGCAAAAAUACUCAAAAUAUAUAAGAUUGAUCAUUUACACCCUCCUUGUUUUUUUUGGGUGAACUAUUUCUGGAAAAUGGGCAGAGCCUAGUUUUGGUUCAAAAUUUGAAAUAACAAAUGGUAUAUUGGUGGAAAACCAACGACAUAUUUUCUAAUGCUUAACCUAAAUGGGAAUUAUAUCGGUUUGUACUGUCAAUAUAACAAACAACUAACUAAAUUAUUUAGAAGUCAUGAAUAAAAAUGGAUAGAACAAGAAGUAUAUUGCUAUUCGAUGCAAGAUGUUGGAUUAUUAAACCAUAAUAAAAUAAUAUAACUACACAUGUGCAAUGUUAUUCACUAAAAAGAUUUAAUUUAGAUAUUAAACAGUUAGUGCAACUGUAUCGAUCUCAUCCUCAUUAAUUUAGAGUUUGAGAACUCAUAAUAAAAGAAAAUAGAAAUUUAAACAUAGAUCCUAUCCUAUUAAGUAGAAUCAGAAAAGAAGUUUAUAGAAAUAAUUUUUCACGGAAGCAAUGAAAUAUUAAUCCGGUUGAUGGAUAUAUUGGUGAACACAUAAUAGAAUAUUAUAAUAGAUUUUUAUCUAUCAAGCAAAGGGAAGAAUAUAAUUGGAAUAACAAAAGAAUUAGAAGUAAAUAGUAAUAUGCUAAUAGGAUAUAAAGGAUUAUUAUUAAUUAUCGUAUUUGUGUAUAUAUAUAUAUAUUUUAAAUGAUUUAGGGACUCUGUACUUGAUGCUGAAAUGUGAACCGGCUGGCACCGGGACAGUGAAACGAGUACUUUUUUUAUUAUUACACGGCCUGUCGUUUUCAAAGAAAAAUUUUAUCAUGGUAUUCUUAUCCCCUAGCUGCCGUUUGUCGUUUGGAAUUUCUCUGUAUAAGAUUUUAAAGCAGCAAAAAUUUCGCCAUCUCGCGCCGGGGGGGUGGGGUGGGGGGAAGAUGAUGAUUCCGUGGAAUAUUAUCUUCGACUUAUCUGCUAUAAUCAGUGCUAACCGAUUUUGACACAUUUGCAGUAACGGAAGGGUUACAAUUACACGAGAUUGACACGAGGUAAUUAGCUAGUCAAGUCUCCGUGGGAAAAUUGUAAGCACUCAAGACUUAAAAAAGACUUUAUAAAGUAAGGCGUAUUAUGGAUGGUGUGGUUUGAUUCUCACUUGCAUCAAUUGUUCUUUUCAUUUUUCAUUGGAGGAAAGGAAAUUCAAGAGCCUGGUGUAUCUAGCAAAUUUUGUAACACGUUCUUGUAAGAUAAAAUAAAUAAAUAAAUAUAUCGGAUCCUAUUUCAUAGUUUAGUUAUAGGGUUAUUCGGAUGUCUGAAUUCAAAACAAGUUAAGUUUAAUCUCUAAAUAAUUUUGAGGAAAUCUUUCUACAAGGAGAGUUUGAAAUCAAUCACUACCCAUGUGUCAUUGGUCAGAUAAAUAGGUUAAGAACUCUAAUCCUAUCCCGACACAAAAAAAAAUCGUAUCGACUCGGACCUAGUCCAUUUUAAAUAACGGUUUAUUUAAAAUAAUUAUUUUUAUAAUAAUAAUUACUACUAUUAGUUGUCCUAUUAUUAUUAUUAACAAUAAUUAUUUUAAAUAAAAAUUGUAAUUAUUAUAAUAAAUGAUGACAAUAAUCAACUAAGAUUAUUUUGGUAUUGUAAUAAUCAAUUCCAAUUCCAAUAAAAAUUAGAUACAUUAGUGACAAUAUAAAUUAGGGUAGGGGUGGGCAAAUUCGGUUUGGAUCGGUUUGGGACAUAUCCUCAAACCGAUCCAAACUAAUCGGUUUGAAAUAUUUUCAAACCGAUAUCAACCUAAAAUUUUUUUAAACCGAACUGAUCCAAACCGAUUGGAUCGGUUUGGAUCCGGUUUGAACUUAUUAGCUAAAAUUUCACUUCUUUUAUAUUAUUUUACCUAAAUUAUUUGUUAUUUUUUUGUGUCCGCAAUCUAAAUUGAUACCUCUUUUAUAUUAUUCAUAUCUACUUUGAUAUCUACAUAACAAUUCAAAGAUACAUCCAUACAAGUUUACAGCAUAAUACAUCCUAAUAAACAAGUUCUUAACCUGUUCAUUCAAAACAAACUCACAAAAUUAAAAUAAACUUAAACCACACUUGACAAUUAAAAUAUUGUGCAUCUUGUCCGUCAAAAUUUAUAGUCCAAUUACUUUUGAUUUGUUAAAAUCUGCAUAAAAUGAUAAAUAUAAUUAUUUAGAUUGAUUAACUUAAAAUAUAAUGUAAUUAUAUAAUAUUUCUGGAUUGGAUCGGUUUGAAUCGGUUUGGAAUCCUUCCAAACCGAGUGAUGUCGGUUUGCAAUCCAAUAAACUGAAACCAGUUUUUUUACUAAUGAAACCGAUCCAAACCGAUCCAAAAGGUCGGUUUGGAUCGGUUCGGUUAAAAUAUGCCCACCCCUAAAUUAGGGGUUAUUUUUAGAAACCUCCCCUGAAGUUUAGUGUAUUGACAGUCGGAUAGAAAGUAUUCAUAUAAUUACAGGGACCUCCCCUGACGUUAGUAUUCCGCUAAGUGGACUGUCAGUUGACUAUUGAAAUUCCAAAAAUGCCCUUGCCGCAAAAAUAUAUUUUUAACAUAGAGGAGGUUGCGCUCUGAUCCUUUGUUCUGAAUUCAUUUUUUAUCCUUUGUUCUUAGUCACGGUAUAUAAGCCCCAUCCUUACCAAACAAAAUUUUAGAUCAAACAUGCUUAAAGAAAAUGGAUAAUGCAACAUCUAAAAUAAUUUUAAAACACAAAACAACAAAUACUCCACAUUUCAAAGUAAUAAAAAAAUAAAUAAUCGUAGUGCAAAUAGAUUAAACCUGAGCAGAUUUAUAGGCAUUAAGAGUAUUCUCAACGGCGACUUUCCUCUCAUCGCCAGUCUUAAACUCAGCCAAGUUAAGCAAACUCAUGUCGAAACCAAAAUUAGAAUUUAGAAAGGAAAAAAACAGAAUUGAGAAUCAAUUUAUUUUUUGGGAGCACGUGAGUGAUGAGUUUUGGAAUCUAAAAUGAUAUCAAGUUAUGAAGUAUUUUUGGUGUAAACGCAACAGCCAUGAGAGGAGAGUGACGAGAAACUUCCAAAAAGAGGUGAAAAAAAAAACAGAAGAGAAAAAGGCCAAAAGGAAAAAGACUCAAAAAAACAAAAACAGAGAGGAGACGCAAGGGCAAUCAAGCAAGCAGACAAACAAUUUAAAACCUGAGCAGAUAAUCACCCUUCAUCUUCAAAUAAAACACCUUGGAAUCGGCAGCGGCAGCGGUGGGAACCAAUUUCUGGUCCAAUAAUUUCAAGAUCCCGCCACAGGAUCUCCAUCAACUCGGCUUCGAUCUUCGAUCUGUACUCCUUAAUCACGGAGACAUGGUCUUGGUUGCCGUGCGACUCGUCCUUCUGCUCGAUGGAGGACACGAUGCACCAAGAGGCGCGCCGUGCGCCGAUGACGUUCUUGUAGGCGACGGAGAGGAGGUUCCUCGCUGGUCGAGGCAGAGACGACGACUUUUUCCAUGUAUUGGACCAUCUCCUCGUACCACUCGGCUUGCUCCGCAAGUUUUUCCAUGUAUACGUUUUCUUCCCGUGGAGAAGGGGCUGCCAUUGUUCCGUUCAGUUAUCUUUGUGUUUGUUUGAAUUUUGUUUUUGUUUAAAUUUUAAAUUUAUUUUUACGUAUUUACCCUUUAUAAUAACGUUAUACGUAUUUUUGUAUUAACGUUAGGGGAGGUCUUUGUAAUUACAUGAAUAUUUUCUAUCCGACUGUUAAUACACUAAACCUCAGGGGAGGUCCCUAAAAAUAACCCUAUAAAUUAUUACAGCUAAAAUAAAUAAUUUAUAAUAAUUCUAAUUCUUUAUUUCAAUUCUAUUUUGAUUCUAUCUUAUUCCGAUUACUGAUUGGUAAGCAUACCACUAAACGAAAUGAAACUGUCCAUACACAAUAAAAUCUCUUUAAUUGAUCAUCUAGCCCAGCUAAAAUCAACGGUCCCGAAAGAAACAAUUUCGGAACUACUCAAGCCUGCAAAUCUUGCACUGUCGUAGUAAGUUACAGGAAUUUGAUUGGACGAUGUAAUAAAGAUGAAGGAUAAGAUCGCCAUUCGCCAAUCAAUUUUCUGUCCGCAUCAAGCAAAUAGGCCAUCUGUGAGGCGCAAAAUGAGUUAAAAAGAUGGAUAAUUUUGGAAUCCAUUAAUCCACAAUGAACAUAAAACAAUUUAAUCAACAGUAUUAGGAAAGAAAAGAAAAGUAGGAGAAGAAAGUUAAGUAUGAUGGAUGGAGGUUCAGAUUACUGUUAAAUGACUUAGGAAAGGCUUAAAGCACCACAGGAAUCAACGUUUCACAAAGCUUUUUUCCCUUUCUGAAAUAUUCGGUGCAGUCUCCCCCAGAUUUUGCCAGUGCAACCAAGAGACGUCAUGCCGUUAUCAAUUAUAAACUGUAAAUGACAUGUUGUUUUUACAAGACAUAUUAUGCGUCGAUACAUACCUAUGAAUGGGUUCAAGAAAUUCAGCAGGUUGCGAAACAAUAAGAUUCAUUCAAUCCGCGUAGAUAUCUGACUGACUGAAAUUAAAUAAACGAUGAUGAUAAGAAAUUUGAAAUCAACAAAUCUCGGCACAUCUAUUCUGCAGUUUGGCCGUACUUCAAAUAACCUUGCGAUAAAAAUUUCAUAAAAAAUCUCAGAAAGAGGACAGAACAACCAAGGCAUCAGCGAAAGCAAUCGAGGCAGGGCACGCUCAAGCCACGAAUUAGAGGAAUUUUAAAUAUCAAAACCUGCUCAGAAUAAUAAGAAAUAAAAUGAAACUACAAAAGGCUCAGAUUUUUGGAUGAGUGAAGGGAAGAUGAGAAGAUGAAAUGCAGAAAGUCAAGAAAUGAAUAAACCAAUAUUAAUAAUCUUGGACCCACAGCUCUAAUUUGGAUUAAGCAUCCAUCUACCUAUGUGGAUAAUAUUUUUGCUAACUUUUCAGCCAUGCAGCAGGAUCAUGUUCGUCCUGUUUUAUUUGAUAGAAGGAAUUUUCCCCUGGAAGAAAAUGAUGAGUCGUUUCAACGUCAUGCAACUGCCUAGACUGCAUGGAAUUUCACCAGACAAUGACAAUUUAUUCUCAGAUAUAUCUAACGCCCCCACAUUUGCCAAAUUUGAAGGCGUCCGUUUUGAGACUGAUAAAAACGUUUUCCAAAAAUUCGGGAUUCAGGUCGAUCAGACCGGUUAUGUUUUGCAAAACUUGUAAAUUUUCAGUGAUCAAAAUUCAAAACUUUGCAAAUAGGUCAAAAUAUGAAAAAUACUUGAUAUAUUAUUGAAUACUCAUUUUGUUUUGCAUUAAUAUACGGCUGUGGGUGCUAUCUAGUUCUAUUAGUAAAAUUCCUUGGGUUGAAAACAAGAAAACUAGCAUUUGAAACUCACCCAUAUGGAUGGGAAAGAAAUUUAGUUACCAUUGGAUUAAAAAAUAAUAAUAACAAUUAGAAAAAAAUUGUAAGGCUUCGACAAGAUUUGCUAAUCAUGUAUAGAUUAAUAUGAAGAUUAAGAACAUCACCUAAGCCAAUUAUUGAAAUUGAAAUUUUAGGAGAAAAAUUUAUGUGGGUUUGGCCACCAAUUUAGCAUUAGGAACUUAUUGUUUAGGAAGCUAUGGUGGGUUUCGUAGUGGGACUUAUCCUCUUUAAUGCAUAUGGUGAUUUUAAACCAACAUUUAUAUAAUCCCAUUAUAAAACUCAUCAAACCUUCUAAAAUAACUCGUUGAGAUAGUGUGCUAGAUCCAUAUAAAUAUUUCUCCAACUUCUUAGCUUGAAGCGAUAUUCAUUUCCAUUGAUAGUUUAAUGGGCAAAGCCUUUUGAAUUCUCCAGGUUAUCAAGUUAUUUUUUGCUGGAAAAUGCAAUCCGGAUAUGAAUAGAUUUUUUUGUGCAAUCAAAUUUUCUAUGUUGACGCAUCCUCUAGAACUUUCAGUAAAUUUUAUGGAGAAGCUUUAAUUUCUUAGUUGUUGAUUUCGAAUAAAAAAUUAAACUUAACUUUAAAAUUACAGUUGUAAUUAUAAAAUAUUUACUGAAUACAUUAGUGUUAAUACUACAAAUUGUUCCAUUAAAAGUCUCUCAAAAAGGAAGAAGUGACUUAAAAAAUUAAAAGAAUGCAGGAGCUGAAGUUGGCAAUUUUGUAAAUUGCAAUGGCAAUUGUGGGCUAGUAAAAUCCCUCAAUGAGUCACAGCACUAGCAAUUUCGUAAUAUACAUUAGUGGCAAUUUUGUAAAAUUGAAGUUGUGAUAGUUUUGCAAAUAAAAGUAAAAGCUUUUUGCCUAAAUUCGGCUGAGCUAAAAGCCAGCUUAGCCCACACUCUCCUUCGCCACCGGUUGACGAGCUCUUCCUUCAAUUUUUGAACUUGAAGUGAUGCCCCAUCGAUGUCCAGAAUUUUUAAAGUCAGAAUGAUGAUCCUAAUGAUUCUUUUUAGAUAGUCACCUGUACGUUGACGUGUUUAAUUGAUGUUUAUUUAAGCAGAAAUUGAAGUUUGAUCCCUGAUUAAUUAGAUGAGAACACACAUUCAUGAGUAAAUACUUAAAAUUAAAUUAAUCAAAAUAGUAUAAAUACAGGAGAAAAUCGAUCAUAUGCGUGCAGACAUCACAAUCGAAUUAUAUAUAUCACCGCCGCACAUAAAUUUGAUUCCCAUGAUAUGUGAUUAAUUAAUUAAUUUUUUUAAUAACAAUUAAAUUGUAAUGUCAAUUGUCCACAUAAGUUUUUUGUUUUUGUUGAUGAAAGUUAGUAAUUUUUUUCCAUCUUUUUAAAUAAAAGUUGUUAAUAAAUAUCAAGAAAAUAUUGGGACUUGAGAUCAGGGUCUACUUAAGUUAGAAUUUUUUAUUAGAAAAGCUAUAGCCAGCGAUGAAAAAUAAAGAAGUAACACAAGAUAAAGAGUAAAAUGAGAGAGCAUAUAUUAUAAAAAGAUUUUACCCAUUUCAAGUGUGCACCAAACAAAGAGACGAACUCUCAUUUUAUAGUUACAUAAUUAUUACAUGAAAUUAAUAAAAAUAUUAAGAAUUAUAAUUCCUUGCGAGAUAGUGGGAGUUAUAGAAAAGUCAAGAGUUGUUAGUGGAAGAUAGCAAGAAGAGUAAAAAAUAUAUGUUAUGAACAUUCACAUUUAUUUUAAUAAAUUUACAGUAUUUUUUUCGUUAAAUAAUAGGGUGUGGAGAACAAUUGGAAGGACUUUACGUGUGUUUAUAUAUUGACAUAAAAAUUGCAGGACGUGUAGUUUAGCGUUUCUUGGUUGUUCAGUGCUAGUUUUCUAAAUCUCGAGCGUGCGGGUUAUUUUUCGUUACCUUUAUCACCGAAAGGCUGUUUUAACCAACUAAGAACUAAAAGCUAAAACCCAAAACCCCCCUCUUGUUCUUUUCCAGGGACUUUACCUUGUCCUUGAUGGCCGAAAAGCAACUGGAAAUCCUCCGCGGGUACGAGCUGCGGCUCUUGCGCUGCACCCUCGCUCCCCCACCGUCCGAUCUUCGCAUUCAAUCGCAACCGUUGAACGAAGAAAGCCAAUGCUCUAUCCUUCCACUCCACGAGCACAUCAACAGCCUCAUCAACUCCAUCGAGUCCGGCCACUAUCUCCAGGCUCUGUCCUCCGACGAGGCUAAACACGCUCUCGACACGCUCGAUUUCGUCGACAUCAACGACUCAGCCGAGUGUGCCGACCGCGUCUACUCCGAGCUGCUCCAGCUUGUCGAAGCGUCUAUAGUGAACGAUUCCGAAAUUGACGUGGAUAAGGCUUGUCGAGUUAUUCUGCUCAUGUGUCUUUCAAUUGCUGCCCUUUUUUGGUUCACUCAGUGUAACGUGACUGGGUGAGUUUCUUAUUUAUAAAUUUUUAAAUAAUUGCAAUUAAUUAAUAAUAAAUAUUAGUAAAAAAUUAAUCAAAAAAAAGGUUUAGUGAUGAACCUUGUCGAGGUGCCUUCUAAUAGAAAAGAGCUCACGGCAAGAUGAAAUGCAAAGUAAGUUGUUUUAUGGUUGGGCGGUGUGUAGCCGUCUUGUUGAAGGCCAUAAGAUGUUAAGCAUAUUGCUGUUUAAUUUUUAAAUCAUUCUCAGUAAUAAUUCCUUUAGUAGAUUGAUGAUAAGAGAUUGCAUUGCAGAUGAUAACUGAGCACAAUUUCUGUAGUUGUAUCCCUGUACAUCCAUCUUAAUAUCCUCAUUAUAUUCACAUGCCUUUUACGGGUGUUAUUUCUGGAUGCAGAAUGCUUUGUUCCACGUCUGGAUACCAAAUGCUUUGUUCCACAAAGCUGAGCUGGUUGAAAAGCUAGCUGAUGAGGUCAACAUGUCCCUUAAGUAAUUUGAGGAUGAACACUGUGUUCCCGAAAGUCUUACUCUAAUGAUACUUAAAGAAGCAAUGAGAAUGGAUGUUGCAGCAGCUUUGCUGAACUCAACCCCAGUUCCAAAAAUGGAACAUGUGAAAAUGCAUUGUUUUUUUUUUUUUUUUUCUCUCUCUUUAUGACUUCUUUGGUUGGGAAUGUAUUAGAUAUUCACCUAAUCAGUAGGCCUUGAAGGGAUCCCAUGUUAGCCCCUUGAUGUUGGUCUGUAACUAAGUAAAUACUUGACCUUGAAAAAGCUUUUGGAGGCAUCAGUUCUCUCUGACUGUGUGCUACUUUUUGGAUCUGUUGAUUUGGUCAUUUGCUGAUUUAUAGUUAUUUUUCUGAUUCAGGAUGGGAUAUGGCUCCAUACAUAUAUAGGCAAUUGAUUCACAGCAGUCGUCAUGCUUCAUUGUAAUUAUAUAUACAAUACAGCAUCAGUUUUUCUUGAUUUUAAAUCUCGUAUUCUGAAGUGGUACUUCUGAUUCUCACAUGAUUUUUCCAUCUUUCAGCUAAAGUUUUUCUGUGAUCUCUUCCGUAUUAGAUGGGAGUUCACCCGUAGUCGCACAAAAGGGCGUGCUUUAGAGAUGAUGGACAAACUGGUAUGAUCUGUGAGCCUUUUCUUCUUAAAUAUUUUGUUACCUAAAUCAUUUUCAUUCAAAUUUACAAGAGUUGCCUAUGGAUCUAUAGAAGAUUCCAAACUUUCUGCAGCUAGUAGUUUCUUGGUUUCCGUACUGUCCAUCGGGUAAAGAUUGAAUGUGCAUCAUUUAUAAACUUGUCGGGAUCUUCCUUCUUAGCUUUGAGAUUGCUCCUGCAUAUAGGUAGAACCAAAGGCACAAAUGGUACUUGUUGCAAACACAAGCUCAUCCAACACUUCUGAUGUCUGCCCUUCAAUAAACCAAGUCAUUCAUACACAUGAUUCUACUAUUGGUGAUGCCUCUGAUGUUUUUGUGACCCCAAAAUUAUUGGGGAAUAGUCAUGAAUCUGAAUCUGGAGUCCAAUGCAUUCAUGCUGGUGGCUCAGCAGCCCAUUUAAAGGCAAUCCAACAGGCAGUGAUCUUGUCGAGGUGCCUUCUAAUAGAAAAGAGCUCACGGCAAGAUGAAAUGCAAAGUAAGUUGUUUUAUGGUUGGGCGGUGUGUGGUCCUCUUGUUAAAGGCCAUAAGAUGUUAAGCAUAUUGCUAUUUAAUUUUUAAAUCAUUCUCAGUAAUAAUUCCUUUAGUAGAUUGAUGAUAAGAGAUUACAUUACAGAUGAUAACUGAGCACAAUUUUUGUAGUUGUAUCCCUGUACAUCCAUCUUAAUAUCCUCAUUAUAUUCACAUGCCUUUCACGGGUGUUAUUUCUGGAUGCUGAAUGCUUUGUUCCACUUUUGGAAACCAAAUGCUUUGUUACACAAAGCUGAGCUGGUUGAAAAGCUAGCUGAUGAGGUCAACAUGUCCCUUAAGUAAUUUGAGGAUGAACACUGUGUUCCCGAAAGUCUUACUCUAAUGAUACUUAAAAAAGCAAUGAGAAUGGAUGUUGCAGCGGCUUUACUGAACUCAACCCCAGUUCCAAACAUGGAACAUGUGAAAACCAAAAAUGCAUUGUUUUUUUUCUCUUUAUGACUUCUCUAGUUGGGGAAUGUACUAGAUAUUCACCUAAUCAGUAGGCCUUGAAGGGAUCCCAUGUUAGCCCCUUGAUGUUGGUCUGUAACUAAGUAAAUACUUGACCUUGAAAAAGCUUUUGGAGGCAUCAGUUUCUCUCUGACUGUGUGCUACUUUUUGGAUCUGUUGAUUUGGUCAUUUGCUGAUUUAUAGUUUGUUUUCUGAUUCAGGAUGGGAUAUGGCUCCAUACAUAGAGACAAUAGAUUCACAGCAGUCAUCAUGCUUCAUUGUAAGUAUAUAUACAAUACAGCAUCAGUUUUUCUUGAUUUUAAAUCUCAUAUUCUGAAGUGGUACUUCUGAUUCCCACAUGAUUUUUCCAUUUUUCAGCUAAAGUUUUUCUGUGAUCUCUUACGUAUUAGAUGGGAGUCCACCCGUAGUCGCACAAAAGGGCGUGCUUUAGAGAUGAUGGACAAACUGGUAUGAUCUGUGAGCCUUUUCUUCUUAAAUAUUUUGUUACCUAAACCAUUCUCAUUCAAAUUGACAAGAGUUGCUUAUUUAUCGAUAGAAGAUUCCAAACUUCUGCAGCUAGUACUUUAUUGGACCCAAAAGCUUUUUUGCUUUUUCUAAGCUGCUAAUCAAGACUAGGUUUCUCUCCCUUAUAUCGCUAGAUAUGCCAUUAAUCGUUUGAUUUAAUUGUCUAGAGAGAUUAGAUACUUGCAUCUUUGCUUUUCACUUCACAAGUGAUUUCAUGUGCUAUCCUGUAUUCUGGUUCAAGAUUUUUGAUGGUUGCUUACUAUCAUAUUUUGCUUUGUUUCAGGUUGAGGGCAUUUCUAACUCUUCUCCCGGUGUGACUCAAAGUAUUCCCUUUUGUUAUGUGAUUUGCAUUCCAACUAUUCCUGCCCUGCGAAAGUAAAACUAUUUCUUCUGCAUCUUUGAAUGAUUGUGAUUUAAUUUUCUUGUCAUUUUGCCAACUAUCAUUAUGCUGUCAUUGUUUCAUAUCUUAUUUGACAUAUGUUGAUUUGGAUAGAUUUUAAUUGCUCUGUUUAUUCUCUUUAUAAUCUGUCUAUUUCGAUUUUUCUUCAUUUUAGGGAAUAUGCUAAACUUUUAGUAAGCCGUGGCUUGAUUGGAGAGGCUAUUAAAAAUUUUGAGGAUCUGGUGUUGUGGGAUAGUCUAAUACUGCAAUUGGUAUGAUGUCAUAGAUAACCAUUACCCUAAUCUCUCUGUCUAUCUCUCUCUCUCUCUCUUUCGUGUUGCUAAUGGGAGUUGGUUUUGUGUAUGAUGUAAAAAACAGCCUAUUGGGGAAGAAAGCAGCAGCUGUUGAACUAAUAAAAGCAAGGCUGUCUGAAAAGCCUAAUGACCCUACAUUAUGGUUUGUUGAUGAGCCUUUUCUAUGAUCCAUUUUAUAGUUACUUCUCAUUUCAGUUAAAUCCAUUGUUGAUGUCACUUAUUGCAAUCUAGGGAUGAUUGUUCAUUGGAUGUGAGGAUAUUGUCAGAAGAAAAUGAAACCUUUUAAUUUUAUCUUUUACUUGCUGUAGCCGACUUAAAAGGUCACUGUGCGUUCUUACUGAUUGCUUUUGGUCUUGCAUUUGAGUCAGUGGAUUUUAUACUCAUAUUCUGACAUGUAUUGUUAGCCUUCUGACGGUUCUGCACCUUGGUCCUAUAUUAUCUUCAGCAGUAUUAUCUAAAAGAUCAUUUUUUGCCGAAGAAUAUUUGCAUUCUAAACUAGAAAAGGAGGGGCCGCCCGGGCCCGGGGGGGGGGGGGGGGGUGUGUGUGUGUGAAGGAAGCAUCAGGAGGUUGUUUUCCACUUAUCCUCUUCCCUGCCUGCAUUUUAGAUGAUUCUGAUGCACCAGGUGCCGUGAAAUGGUUGAGAAAUACAUACCAUCAAGUGAAUUCUGAAAAUCAUAUCCUUUUUGAGAAUAUUUGGUGCUAGACAUUUGAAUAUGUGGCCACAAUUUAAACAAUAAAGAUUUUCUGCACUGAUUUCUUAUAAUGGAUAUAUGCAUGUAAUUAUAAUAUGAUAUCUUUUGAUUAUUGACCCAUUUGUUUAGAAAGAAGGGGAAAAAAAAAACAUGGUUGAAAGACAACUGUUACUUGACCUUAUCUUGGUCUGUUCACUGCCGUUUGUUUCCUAUAACUUCUGGUGAUAAUGUAGCCAGAAUGAUGAGUUGAAUUGUGGUUUACUGACUUGUGAUACAUUUUGUAGGUGUUCAUUUUUGUUUUCUAAAUUUGUUAUCUAAAGGAAUGACAAGUUGACAACUCAGCCUCUCUCUCUCUCUCUCUCUCUCUCUCUCUCUGUGUGUCUGUGUCAGGGAUCUGAUUUGUGGAAAGAAAGAGAUCGGUUUGAAAGGUUUUCAUAUGCAUCCUUGGAACUUUGUAAGGUUUACAUGGAAAUUUCUUCCUCUUCUGGUAGCCGUCAAGAACUCUUUGCUGCUGAGAUGCACCUGAAGAACGUACUUAAACAAGUAAAAUACCUUAUAAUUCGAUAUUUAAGACACUUACAGAUGGUAUUACAUUGACAGCAGUAAAACAAAGAAGCAACUGAAAGUUAUCUUCAUAUGAGAAUGAAAGCUUUUCAGCAGCAUAAGCCUUUCACUAUUCAAUUCCAAACACGUUCCUCAACAUGAUAACAAAUUCGUAGACCUUUUCUGGGUCUGGAAGGAUCCUGUAACAGUUUCUCUUUGCAUGCACUUGUUCAUCCAUGCUGAGAAUUUGGGGCACUCAUUCUCAACCUUAAAUCCCCCAAAUUCCUCAACCGCGUAAAACCAUCAAGUCAGUGGAAUGGCAAUCACAUCAACGAAUCCAAAGCUGUCCCCGCCAAAGAAAUCCUUCUCCCCUAAAGCUCCCUCAAGUUGCUUCAAAAUCUCUAUAAAUUCAUUCUUCGCCGGGGACCUCGCCCUUCGUUUUGCAUAUGUUGCAGACUGGAUCGAAUACCUGCCAAAAAAGUGGUGUCAUCUUUUAAGUUCGCAUUUAGAAAGAUACAAACAUUUACACUUGAGAAUUAUAGACUGACCUUCUUGUCAAUAAAAUCUGCCCAGAACCUUGCCUUAGCUCUCUCAGAAGCACAGGAUGGGAGAAGUGAUGGCGAAGGCCAAGUCUCGUCAAUUUAGUUGACUAUAAUAGUGGAUUAACACAAUGGUUCCCCAUCGUGCAGCAAAACUGGGACUUUCUUGUAGAUGGGGUUUGAUUUGAGCAACAGGUCACUCUUGCCCCCGAACAAGUUCUCAGCUCUGGCUUCAUAUCCAACUCCUUUCUCAGCCAAUGCAAUCUUUGCUCUCAAGCAAAAUGGGCUAACCCAACAGUCCAAAAGAACAACCUCUCCCUUUGACAUAUUCAACUAUCAAGGUUGGUAUUUAUAUAGGAGAAAAGAUGAAAUUCCCAAAGAUUGUGUCGCAAUCAAGGUUUGUUCGUUGGCACUUCGAUAAAGGAUGUGGCCUUGUUCUUAUCAUUUCUUAGUUUUUGAAGCUAAAUGUUUUACUUGGCUUUCAACAGGCACAAGAACAAGUUUGUCUUGUGUAAAUAAAAUAAAACCAUAAAAUUCCAUUAUUAGUGUAAAACCAAAAUAAUUAAAAUAAUAAAAGUGAGUUAGUCGUGCGUGUGGACCUCCUCUUUAUGAGUUUGUUAUCACACCAUAUUUGGUUUCUAUAAAUAAAAUAACUAAAACUCUCUUAUCUAAGUAAGAAUAUUGUUAUUUUGAAAUACCAACUCAAUCUCUAACAAAUCUUGAGAUAUAACUUAAGAUUCUUGAGCUUCCAAUAUAAAACAAGUAAGAUUAACAUAACUUUUUCACUUCCUUCCAUCAAAGAAGGGAAUAAGUUAUAUAAUUUAAUUUAUGUUUAAUUAAAUUAUUUUAAAUGGGUAAUAAUUAUAAAUUUUUCCACUUUAUUUAAUUAACUAGAUAAGACCAUAUUGUAAAUUCUUACAUUUAUCACUUUAAUCUCUUUCCUUUUUCAUUCCAACUCCGGUACAAACUAUUCCUUUUCAAAAAGUUGUACUCAAAUUGAUAAGUCUUGGAAGACCAAAACACUAUUUAAAAUUUAUUAUUUGCUUUAGUAGCUUUCAUGGGUGCAAGGUAAGGAACAAAACUCGGUGGAUUUUAUGACAAAAGCUUUAUCUUAUGUAGCACUUUUUUCGAUAUCUCGAACUUUACUCUUUAAGAAUGUUGUAUAAUAUUUCUACAAUAACAACAAACAAAUUAUAACCCUGAAAGAUCUAUAUACACCUCGAUCUCUAGCUAGUUCUCUACAAAAUAUGGCACUAAGUAACAAUGUAAUCGGAGCCAUCAACUUUGUUGCCGUACUUCUUUCAAUCCCAGUCAUCGGUGCCGGAAUCUGGCUUGCCACCGAGGCAGACAAUUCUUGUGUCAAGCUUCUACAAUGGCCAGUCAUUAUUUUGGGAAUCUUGAUUCUAGUCGUGGCUCUAGCAGGCUUUAUUGGAGGAUUUUGGCGCAUCCCUUGGCUCCUUAUACUUUAUCUCGUUGCCAUGCUCAUUCUUAUAAUAUUGCUGGCUUGUCUAGUUGUUUUCAUUUACAUGGUCACGAUUAAGGGCUCAGGUCACCUUGCACCCAGUAGAGCGUACUUGGAAUACCGCCUCGAUGAUUUUUCUGGAUGGCUACGUAGAAGAGUUCGAAGCCCUUACAAAUGGGAUCGGAUCAAAAGCUGUCUCAGCUCGACACAGAUGUGCCCUGAGUUGAACCAUGUAAAAAUGAGUUGCAAAUACUGUUUGGUUACUGAGAAACAGAGAGAAAAUUGAUGAAUAUUCCAGAUCUUAUUAUUUCAUUAAUUACAAAUGAGUAAAUCACAAGUCUUUAUACUUGCAUUUCAUUAGUAAAAGCUAUUAACGAAACUGAUCUGUAUUAACUAACUAAUACUAACUAACUAAUCACGCGAACUCUCAUUGCUGCAUAACAGAAUCAGCUGACUCAGCAUUGUUGACGUGGCAUUGCUGACGCACCUUAGCUUCUGACUUCUUCUCUCUUCUUAGCUCAGCACAAUGAGCUUUCUUCACAGCCCCUCUCAAACUCAAGGGGCAUAAAUGCACAUUGAGUUUGUUCCUCAGAUAAAUGAACUGAGAAGAGUUUAAGGGCUUAGUCAUUAUGUCUGCUAUCUGUUCUGUACUAGGAACAUAUAGAAUCUUAAGAUCUCCAGUUAGAACCUUAUCUCUGAUAAAAUGCAGAUCGAUUUCUAUGUGUUUUGUUCUUGAGUGAAACACUGGAUUAUGAGCAAGAUCUUUGGCACUUACAUUGUCACACCAUAUAACUGGUUUCUCCACACGACAUAGAUUAAUCUCAAGAAACAAAGAUUUUAUCCAUGUUAUCUCUGAAACAGCUGCUGCAAGUGCUCUGUAUUCACUUUCUGCAGAAGAUUUUGUAACUACAGAUUGCUUCUUUGAGGACCAUGAGAUUAAGUUGUUUCCUAGGUACACACAAUAUGCACCAGUGGAUCUUCUGUCAUCAAGAUCACUUCCCCAGUCUGCAUCUGUAAAUGCUGUAACCUUCAGCUCACCUUUCUUAACAAAUUUCAGCCCAUAGUCUUGUGUUUCCUUCAGAUAUCUAAGCACACGUUUGCAUGCCAUAAGAUGUUGAAGUGUUGGUGAAGAUACAUACUGACUUAGCUUAUGAACUGAAUAGGCAAUUUCAGGUCUUGUCAAAACUAAAUACUGAAGACCUCCUACAAUGCUUCUGUAAUGAGAUGGAUCUUCUAUGUAAUAACCCAUUUCCCCUUCUAUAUUCUUCUGCAAUCUGUAAUCUUUGCUGCUGCUCAUUGGUGUAUCUAUUCCUUUACACUCGAGCAUAUCAGCUUUAGCCAGCAAGUCUCUGAUAUACUUCCUUUGUGAUAGAUACAUACGGCCAAGAUCAUACAAAACUUCAAUUCCAAGAAAAUAAGAUAACUUUCCCAGAUCCUUUAAUGCAAAUGCAGAACUGAAUAGCUUGAUAAAAUCUUCCAGCUCAUCACAAUUUGAUCCUGUAAUCAAUAUGUCAUCCACAUAUAUCAGGAUUAAAAUAAUUGAUCUUUUAUUCUUUUUCAAGAACAAAGAUGAGUCAGACUUAGAAUUCUCAAAUCCCCAUUGCACAAGACUGUUUCUCAGCUUGUCAAAACAUGCUCGUGGAGCUUGUUUCAAACCAUAAAGUGCCUUGUGAAGCUUGCACACAAAAUCAGGUCUUUUGGAAUCAAUAAACCCUUCUGGUUGACUCAUAUACACCUCCUCAAUUAAAUCUCCAUUUAAGAAUGCAUUAUUCACAUCAACCUGUCUUAUUUGCCACUGAUUCAUUACUGCUAGACUCAGGACUAUUCUAACUGUUGCUGCUUUCACCACUGGACUGAAAGUCUCAAAGUAGUUCACUCCUUCUAUUUGCUGAAAUCCUUUAGCAACCAACCUUGCCUUAUAUUUUGCAACACUUCCAUCAGUAUUUGAUUUCACUCGAAAUACCCAUUUGUUGCCAACAAGUUUGUGAUGUUCUGUUCUUGGCACAAGUGUCCAGGUACCAUUUGACAUUAGUGCAUCAUAUUCAGCUUUCAUUACUUGAAACCAUCUCUCAUCAUUGAUAGCCUCCUGAACUGUAUCUGGUUCUUUAUGCAACAAUACUGCAGUAUAUACCUUUGGCUUAAAGAUACCUGCUUUCCCUCUAGUGAUCAUGGGGUGUUGGUUUAGUGAUGGUGAGGUUGUCAUUGUUUGAUUGAGAUGAGGGAUAUUGUUAUUGUGUUGGUUUUGUGAAUUUUCAUUUGAGGGCUGUUCUAAUGUUGUGUCAGGUAUAGAAGGUAACAUUAUAGGUGCAGAUGGAUUAUUUCUGUCUGUGUUUGAGGGUUGUUGAUCUGUUACCUGUGUUGAGACUACUGUUGAAGGAAAAAUGUUGCCACUGGAGUAUGCUUGAGAGAAAGAUUCAUUGCUGGUGACUGAAAAAUCUGUUAUGACAGGUAAUGUUGAUAACUGGAAAACUUGUAUAGGAGUAAUUGUGCAAUAUGUAUCAGACUUAGAUUUAUUUGAAUUAUGAAAGCUAGGAUCAGCUGCAAAUGGAUAAGAGUGUUCAUCAAAGACAACAUGCCUAGCUAUAUAUAUAUGUCCAGAGGGGUGAUAACACUUGUAGCCUUUAUGAGAUGGACUAUAACCAAGAAAAAUGCAUUUGGUUGUGUGAUAGUCAAACUUGUGCUUAUUGUAAUCUCUCAGAUAUGGAUAACAAGCACAUCCAAAGCAUUUCAGCAUUUUAUAAUCAGCCUUGUGUUUAUAAAGCUUUUCAUAUGGAGUAGACAUCUUAAGUGCAGAAGUAGGGAGUCUAUUAAUGUGAUAGACUGAGGCAUGAAAAGCAUCCCACCAGAAUUGAAAAGGGAGUUUGGCUUGAGCUAGAAGUGUCAGUCCUAAUUCUACAAUUUGUCUGUGUUUUCUUUCAACAAGUCCAUUCUGAUGAUGAGUGUAAGGGCAAGAGUGUCUAAAGAGAAUGCCACAUUCAUUUAGAAAGGCAGUAAAUGGUCUGUAUUCUCCCCCCCAGUCAGAUUGUAGAAUUUUGAUAGAAGUUUGAAAUUGUUUUUCAACUUGAAGUUUGAACAGCUUGAACACUUCUAGAGCUUCUGAUUUAAGUUUCAAAGGAUAAAUCCAGGUGUAUCUGGUAUGAUCAUCCACAAAGCUAAUGUAAUAUCUAAAGCCAUCUCUAGAAUAUGCUGGUGAGGGACCCCAUAGAUCAGUGUGAACAAGUUCUAGAGCUGAUGUGGAUUUGAUAUCAGUGAUUGGAAAAUGAAGUUUAUGAAAUUUUCCUAGUUGACAUGCUUCACAGAAAUGCUUUGUAGCUUGAUUAACAAUAUUUGUAGAGCACAAAUUGGGAUGCACAAGCUUAAGCAAAUGAAUUAGACUUUGAGUAUUAGGAUGACCAAAUCGUUUGUGGAGUAAAGACAUUUUAUUGAAUGAAUUAGUGCUACAAGUAUUCUUAUUUGACUGAAAACAUUUUCCAGAACAAGAACUAUUAACUGAAGUGCUGAAAUAACACUGAGAUAGCAUGGACACAGGCUUAUUUAUUGAGCUCUGAGAUAGAAAAGAGGUAAAUGUAGAUUGUGAUGAUGAACUCAGCUGCAAUUUGUAUAAACCUUUCUCAGCAAUACCCAGUAGCAGAAUUUUCCCUUUCAGUAUAUCCUUCACAAAGCAAACAGAACCAAGGAAUUCAACAGAUAAGUCAUUAUCAGUGGUCAGUCUAGAAACACUUAUUAAAUUCUUUGUAAUAGAUGGAACAAGCAGUAUAUCUUUAAGUGCAAUGCAUGUACUUGCAUAUUGUAUUUUAGAGCUUUGAAUUGUAAGAUUGGCAUUACCAACAUGUGUGAUUGACAAACCUUUACCAUCACCAAUGAUAAGCUUGUCAUUACCUCUAAACUCAUUGCUGACAUGCAUAUUUGCCAUACUAUUUGUUAGAUGAUGUGUAGCUCCACUGUCAAGGUACCAUCCUUCAUCUGUUGGUCCUUCAAAGUUAGCAGCAUAAGCAGCUCCAGCUCCACUCACAGGUGAGCUCAUUGAGUCAGAUAUGUAUGAAGAAUAUGGUGUAUUAUACACGUGAGGUAUCCCUGAAUAAUCAGCUGCAGCAGGCCAUGAAUCUUCAGUAGGUGCAUUAAAAUAUGUCAUAUAGGCUGAUCUCUGAUUUCUUCCUCUUUUCAUGUGUUGAGGUAUAUAAUUUUCUUCAAACCUAUGCCAACAUUCUACUGCUGUGUGUCCAGAUUUAAAACAGAUCUGACAAACAACAGUCUGUUCCUCAUUACCAUCAGAAUUCGACAAACCAGAAUUAACACUAUAUUGUCCUCUCAUGAAUUGUGCCUGCUUAUUAUUGUUUCCAAUCAUUUGACCUCUGCCAAGAUUAUUACCAAGAUUUCCAGAUCCAGAGGGAAAGCCUCUUGGAUGAGAAUUGAUAAACAUUCCUCUUCCAGUAUGAAAAUUGUUUCUUCCAAAUUGAUUUCCACCAUGAAAUCCUCCAUUAUAUCCACCUCUUCGAGCACUACCUCUUGUUUGAGCAUAAUAAGCAUUCAUCAUACCAUAGCCAUUAUUAUUAUGAGAAACAUUAGCAAGAUUUGCAUUGAACAUCUGUUUUUCAUUUAGACUCUGUUCUAAUCUUGUUUCAUGCGUGAGCAGCAAUGCAUAGGAAUCAUCAAAAUCUAGCUUACUAGCAGUAAUGAAAGUUGCUAAAUCUAGAUAGCCUGGUCCAAGACCAUUAAGGAUCUGUUGUAACAGAUCUUUGUCAGAAACUGGACUACCAGCACAGGCUAAUUUAUCUGCUAUUUGUUUCAUUUUCAAACAAUAAUCUUCUACAUUUAGUGAAUCUUUUCUCAAAACACUCAUCUCAUAUUUGAGUUGAAGAACUCUAGCUUCAGAUUUUGCACCAAACUUUUUCUCCAAUGUUUUCCACACAUCAUAUGCAGUAUUACAAGAAUGAACAUGACUGAGAAUACCUUCAGUGAUUGAGCUUAAUAGCCAGCUUAGUAAUGUCUGAUCCUGUGACCUCCAGAUUAUAUAUUCUGGAUUUUCAACUUGUUGUGUAACUCUUCCCAUUGUUUCAGCAUAGCUUCCUGAAGUAAGAAAUUGAGUAGGUGCUGCCUUUUCUCCAUUGAUGUAGCCUUCAAGUCUGUUUCCUCUUAUAGAAGCUAAUACUUGAUUUCGCCAGAGCAUAUAAUUGGAUCUAUCCAAUUUGAUUGGCGUAAUGAAUGAGAAGGUAGUUUGUAUUGAUUGAUUCAUGUUUGUUGUGUUUGGAUUUGUGUUUAAAUUGCUUGAGCUUACCAUAUUUCUGGCUCUGAUACCAUGUAAAAAUGAGUUGCAAAUACUGUUUGGUUACUGAGAAACAGAGAGAAAAUUGAUAAAUAUUCUAGAUCUUAUUAUUUCAUUAAUUACAAAUGAGUAAAUCACAAGUCUUUAUACUUGCAUUUCAUUAGUAAAAGCUAUUAACGAAACUGAUCUGUAUUAACUAACUAAUACUAACUAACUAAUCACGCGAACUCUCAUUGCUGCAUAACAGAAUCAGCUGACUCAGCAUUGUUGACGUGGCAUUGCUGACGCACCUUAGCUUCUGACUUCUUCUCUCUUCUCAGCUCAGCACAAUGAGCUUUCUUCACAAACCAGAGUUAUAGGAUGGCUCAAGAUUUCUUCAAUGCACAUAUUACCCCUUUACAGGUAAUUAUAAUUAAUUAAGUUCUCGAUUACCAUUAAUUUUAUUUUAUUUUUUUCCAUUAAUUUCUAGAAAUUAAGAUUUAUUAGAACUCUAAAGUUAAAUUCUGAUUAAAAUUUUAAUUUUUAACGUACACAUUCCUCUUUAUAAUUAUGACCGUACGUAAUUUUAUAGCAGAGGAUAAUUCCUACCCAUUAAUUAAGCUAACCCACACGCCCAUGGAACAAUGAAGAAGUAGCUAAUAAAGUAAAAACACUGUAUUAGAUUCGGAAAACCAAGUUUCAAAUCUUCUUUUCAAAAAUAUUCUUCGUCUUUAUCUUUAUUGCGUGCCUUUGUGCUUUUUUUUUUCUAUUUAUUUAUUUUUCUUGUUUACAGUCUGGAUGUUGUAAGCCUCCGACAGAGUGUGGUUACACAUUUGUAAACCCAACAUAUUGGAUAAGUCCAAUUAACAACGCGGCGGACAUGGAUUGCCUACAGUGGAGCAAUGACCAAAUGCAGCUUUGCUAUAAUUGUGAUUCAUGCAAAGCAGGAUUACUUGCUAAUCUGAAAAAGGAGUGGAGAAGAGUAGAUAUCAUAUUACUCGUUACUCUUGUUGCUUUGAUAUGGGUUUAUCUGAUUGGAUGUUGUGCUUUUAGGAACGCCAAAACUGAAGACCUCUUUCGCAAGUACAAGCAAGGCACUUACACGUAAUUGUUAGCUGCACGUAAACUCUCUUUGAUAGUAAUAUUAAUGUGUAAUUAGGGACUGGCUUGAAUUGUUAUUUUGAUAAUUUUAUGAAUUUUUUGUUUAAGAUCCGUCUUCUUGGUUACUUACAUUUGGUUAAAUUAUGUGUGGGGUUUGAUUUGAUGACGACAUAAUCUUGAGUUGUGCGUGCGUGAUUUGUGGAGGGCGCCGAAAGUAGGUGGCUUUUGAAUAUUUGCUUUUUAAGGAGAAGGGAUUUCGCACUUCCGCUCCCUGCUUGCUCGCAUAGGGCAUUAAUUGUAGCUUUGAAAAAAGUUCUGCUUCAGCAUGCGCAAAAGUCAAAGAAAUGGGACAUGUGCUCAUGCAUUAUGCAGCCAGCAUAUGGGUGAUAGCAGACGUAUUUAAUCUUUUAGUCUUUGUUGACAACUCAGCCUCUCUCUCUCUCUCUCUCUCUCUCUCUCUCUCUCUCGCUGUGUCUCUGCGUCAGGGAUCUGAUUUGUGGGAAGAUAGAUAUCGGUUUAAAAGGUUUUCAUAUGCAUCCUUGGAACUUUGUAAGGUUUACAUGGAAAUUUCUUCCUCUUCCAGUGGCCGUCGAGAACUCUUUGCUGCUGAGAUGCACCUGAAGAACGUCCUUAAACAAGUAAAACACCUUAUAAUUCGAUAUUUAAGACACUUACAGUUGGUUUAAAGAUUGCAUUUUCCGUUUCUGUUUUUGACUGGUUCAGGGUAAAACUUUUUCUCACUGUGUUAGAGUGCAUUUCUGUUAUUAUAUAGUACCUGUCAAAAUUUUCCAUUCCAAUUAGUUACAGAGUGAAUUCUGUAAGGUGUGGCGCCCCCUUGAAGGCCAGGAGAGCCGUGUUUAGGGCUUAUCACCCCUCCAAGGUGUAAUCCCUUGUAUCCCUGUAGCUUAUACCAGAGGUCCGGAGUACUGCAGACUUGUGGAGAUACGGGGCUAUGAGUUUCCAUCUUUCGGACAUCACAACACUUGUUCUGGAGAAAUUAUGGGUUUAUUUCAGAACAGAGGAAGGUUACUUCAUUAAGAGGAAUGAGAGAUUUACAAUACACUAGAUUUAGGCUCCAAGACUCGAUGCCUAGAUACAAACCAAGGGUUCCCUUUUAUAGGCACAAGGGAACCACUAUUACACACUGUAGUCAUUAUUGAUCCUUAUCUCUAAGGAAUCUAUUUUACAACUCACUCCUUACUUUAUGUCACACUCAUACUCUCAUCCUUAUCACAAAGGAUGGUACACAAUACAUACGAAUACAAAUACAUAUAUUAUUAUUAUUAGAGAUACAAAUACAUAUAUUAUUAUUAUUAAAUAUACAAAUACAUAUACGAAUACAAAGGAUGGUACACAAUACACUCUGAUAAUAAUAAUAUAUGUAUUUGUAUUCGUAUGUAUUGUGUAUCAUCCUUUGUGAUAAGGAUGAGAGUGUGAGUGUGACAUAAAGUAAGGAGUGAGUUGUAAAGUAGAUUCCUUAGAGAUAAGGAUCAAUAAUGACUACAGUGUGUAAUAGUGGUUCCCUUGUGCCUAUAAAAGGGAACCCUUGGUUUGUAUCUAGGCAUCGAGUCUUGGAGCUUAAAUCUAGUGUAUUGUAAAUCUCUCAUUCCUCUUAAUGAAGUAACCUUCCUCUGUUCUGAAAUAAACCCAUUUUGGUAUCAGAGCCAUAUUUCCCAAAAGGAAACCCCUGGGUGUGCAACAAUAUUAUGCUCUGUGGUUGCCGAAACACUUCGGAUCCUCCACAUCAGAAAGUUGUUGAAUACUGAUCUACCUGUCAAAAUUUUCCAUUCCAAUUAGUUACAGAGUGAAUUCUGUAAGGUGUGGCGCCCCCUUGAAGGCCAGGAGAGCCGUGUUUAGGGCUUAUCACCCCAAAGAAAACCCUUUGUUUUCUCUUAGCCAUGGAAAACUCAAACAGUAAUAGAUCUGGAAACCAAACAGUUUCUGACCAAGGAUCCACUUCGGCUAUCAGAGUUCUAACUGAUAGUUCACCCUCUAUAAACUUCCAUUACGAAACCCAAGAGGAUGAAAGCAGUGAGAGAGCGGUUCAGUCCUUUAGACUUGAUCCGUUAGAUCCCUAUAGAUACUACCAUAUCAAUUCUACUCUUAAUCAAUUAAGAGCCAUAAUUCCUAUUAGACAACCCAAGCUUAAAACCAUCUAUAAAUCCUCUGAGAUUACUGUCCAGUUCAUCUCCUCCAGUUCUAAAGAAACAUACCUUCCUAUAAUCUCUACCAAUGAGGUUACAAGGUAUAAGCUACAGGGAUACAAGGGAUUACACCUUGGAGCAAUCUAGAUAGGAAUACAACCAUUGUUCCUAGCUGGAAAAGAUAUCACAUGCUUCAUUGCCAUCCUUGACACUAGAUGGCAAACUUUUGAGAAAGCCUUGAUCACUGCUGUCGAAGCAGGACUCAACCAAGGUCAUGUUGUUCUCCAAGUUGAACCCAACUUCACCCUUGACAUACACAAGCCAUUUCUCACAGAUGCCAUUAAGGUAUUAAUUCAGGUCAAUGGUCUAACCAUAAAACCUGAUGAAUCUGCCUUGGCAAUUCACCACACCAUGACCUAUAAAGUCCAAACCCAUCUGUUCUCUAUGAGCAGCUCUGGCAGGCCCAUUACCAGAUUUCUUGCUGGUGAUGGCAGAGUCUUUCAACCUCGGACUUAUAGGCAAAAUCAGCUCAUUUUUCUACCUCAAUGGAUCAAUGAGUAUGAAAAAAACAGCAAGCCUCAACAAAUCCAUGAGGUUCCAAAGAUAAGCCGGUUACAAGAAGGAAGGGUAUCAGUCUCUUUUCCCACUGAGACUAAAGCCCUCUAUCCAUGUGAAAAAUGCCAGCUUGAAGGAAGGCAUCCCUCCUUGUGCACUCAUAUGCCAAGAAGAAUCACCUCCUGCAGAAUCAUGGGUCCAAUUAACAUGAUCACCACUCCGGAUCUUGAUAAUGAAUUCCUCAAGGAUAUUCCUGGAGGAAUGUAUGUUGCCAAAUGGGUAAUACAAAAAACCAACCCAACUGAAUUUGGCCCAAUUGAGAAGGCGAUCAACUGGUCAAACAUCAAUGCUGUUGAACAGAACCAAGCGUUGGGAGACAUCAUGGUUACCCAACAGCAAAUUCUUGCUGACUUAGCUGUUAUCAGAAAACAGCUAAAGAAAACCAGAAAACAGCAUAAGGUGACUACCCAGCAGUUUUCCCAAAUGCAUGACAGUGCCUCCAGAUCUAUCAACAUGAUCGUAAUGACCGGAGCUGCAGAUGAGGACGGAAUGAGAAGAACCAGAGAAAGCUAUCAAAGGACAAAAGUGUCCAGGCACUGGAAGAGCAAGCCCACAAAGCCAUGGCAUGUCUGGGAAGAAAAUGCAUCUGGCAACUGUCAAAAGGCAUUUUGGAGAAGCUAUGCUCCACCUCCACAAUAUCCAUGGCCCACUAAGGCUACAGGAUGGGAUGAGGAUAAAGAUACGGAUACUGAAACAAGUAUCUCCUCUGAUGACCAGAUCCCUCUUAUACCAAUUCUUAUGCAAAGAGCAAAUCCUCCAAAUCCAUUCUAUGUGGAUACUCGAGCUAGAUUUGCAGCAUCCACACCAACACAGGGUCAAACCUCUGAUCCUACAAGACAAGAGCAAACUCAACACCCAUCAGGAACAACCCAGUUCACUGCCCCAGAAUUCGCUAAUCCUGCUGCCCAACCAGAAGCAUCUGGAGUAGAAUCCACAAAUCAAGAAGACAGGGCACCACAUAUUGAUGAGGUAAAUCAGGGAGACGAAUGGGAAACCCGUGUCCAACUUGGGCAUUCUACGACGGGAAAAAUGUUCUGGAACAUCGAUAGAAUGAAGCCAAAAGAAAUAUUGGCUUACUUUGAAAAGAUGGUAGCUUGGUAUGAAGGAGAAUGCCAACGAACUCCCCAGUUGAGCAGAAGAUCGGCAGCAAUGAGACUUGUUGCAGGAUUCGUUGGAUCAUUGAGAAGAUGGUGGGGAAGAAAGCUCAGCAGAGAACAAAAGGAAUUCAUACUCAGCAGAGAAGACCCUUGUGGAAGCUUGGUAGAAAAUCUAUCCUUGGAUUUUCUCGGCCAACACACAAGAGAAGAAGAAGUAGCUGAAAAACAAUUUCUCCAGAACAAGUGUUGUGAUGUCCGAAAGAUGGAAGAGUACUACCUAGAGCAAGAAAGGUUGUACUACAUCUUUGACAAACAAACUGACACCAUCCACAGAACAUUCGUGCUAAACAUGCCAGGCCCAGUAGCGGAAAUGAUGGAGGCUAAAUUCAAAGCUGAUGCAAUUGUUGAUUUAGCACAGCUUAGCCUUGCUCAGCUCUAUCAGAUAUCUAUGGAGCUGAUCCAAAGUCAUUGCAGAUCUCAAGACUUAAGAAGGCACAUGAAGCAGAUUGAGAAAUCCUCUCUGCAAAAAUUCUGUAAUGAGGAACCAAACAAAUUUGGUUGCCACCAUACAGACAAAAUGUGCUCUUGCAAGAACAACAGGCAGAAAAGGCCAAAGAAACCCUGGAAGCCCUACAAAGGAAAGAAAUACCGUUUCAUCAAAAAACGAAAACAAAAGAAAGGCUCGGGGAGAUGUUUCAUUUGCGGAAAGAAAGGUCACUAUGCCAAACAGUGCAAAUCCAAGAAAAGACUUCCAGCAAAACUUCUCCAGAUGAUCCAGCAGGAAGAUUUUGAUGAUGACAUCUAUACCUGGUCAGAUAGCCCUACGGUGUUGUAUACACAAUGGAUAAAUAUCCUCUUUCAGACGACGAUGAUACAGAUUCUCUUUCUAGCACUGACAGUGAUUCUGAUGAUGAUCCUGUCAUGACCAUCCAUGAGCCUCUCCAAGCUAACCUGGCAAUGGCCCCUGCCUCUCUCUUCAGACCACAUAUAAAGGUUAUCCUCAACCCAUCUGAGGAUAAACAGGUAGCACUCACUGCUCUUAUUGACACUGGAGCAAUGUGCUCAUUCAUUCGAGAAGCUUGUGUUCCUUCCACCUUUUAUGUUCCUACUAAGGUCUCGUUUGGCUCCGCUAGUGGAAGUAACUUCUCCAGUAAAAAGAUUACCCGGCCUAUAGAAAUCCAGCCCUUUAUGAUAAGGCAUGGCUUCUUUGCCUUUGAUUAUUCAGGCGAAGAUAUCUUGCCAGGCACCGACUUUUUAAGUCUGAUUGCCCCUUUUGCCUUCUUUCCCGAUGGCUUCUCUUAUACCAUUCGGAAUCCUCACACGGGCACCACUAACACUUUCUGGGUACCCUGGGUUGAAAAACAAUCCAUUUUUGGGGAGGGUGGAAAACUACAAAAUUACACCAUCCAUAAAUAUGAACCCCAAAUUAAAGAACUCCUUGAAUGCUGUGCAGAAGUGCCAAACCAGUUUUGGGCUAGAGAACAACAUUUUGUGUCUCUACCAUACAAGGAUGGAUGGACCAUGCCUCACCAGACGGCCUCUCAUCCAGGCAUUCCUCAUGACGAAGAACUAUGCAAAACAGAGAUCCAGGCUCUUAUGGAUCUAGAGCUCAUCAGGCCCUCUAAGUCUCAUUGGGCUAGCCCAGCAUUUUAUGUCAACAAGCAUUCAGAACAGAUACGUGGAAAAAAGCGAUUGGUAAUUCACUACAGAAAACUGAAUGAUUGCUUGCAGGACAUAAGAUACCCCAUUCCACGGAGGACACACAUUUUAAAACGCAUUGCUGGUGCAAAAGUGUUUUCAAAGUUUGACAUGAAGUCAGGCUUUUGGCAAAUUGGGAUUAAAGAAGAAGACAGACACAAGACAGCAUUUGUGGUCCCCCACGGGCAUUAUGAAUGGAAUGUGAUGCCUUUUGGCCUAAAGAAUACACCGUCAGAAUUCCAAAACAGAAUGGAUGAGGUGUACAAAUCUAUCUCAGGAUUUUGCCUUAUCUACAUUGACGAUGCUCUUAUCUUCAGCAACAGUGAAGAAGAACAUGCUGAACACCUGUCCCAAUUCAAGGCACUAACCUAUAAACAUGGGUUAGCUUUGUCAGAAUCCAAAAUGAAGAUAGGCCUUGAUGAGGUGGACUUUCUAGGAUUACACAUCAAGCAGAGAUUCAUCAUUCCUCAGCCACAUAUAGCUGAAAAAAUAUCCCAAUUCCCAGACCAGCUGUCAACCAGAAAGCAGAUCCACCAGUUCCUCGGGAUAAUCAACUAUGCAGCAGACCAUGUGCAGGAUCUGUCAAAGAUGACGAGAGUCAGAUAUCAAAGCACUUAAAGAAGAGUGCCCCACAAUGGUCGGAAGACGCAACAAAAGCAGUGACAGACUUAAAGCAAAAGUGCCAGUCACUUCCACCAUUAAAGAUACCUGACAAGGGACAGCUCAUCCUCCAGACAGAUGCAAGUGACCAUUAUUGGGGAGCACUGUUGAUAGAGGAAUCCGAGGGAAACAGAAAAGUGUGUGGCUAUAAAUCAGGCCAGUUCAACGAUGCUCAAAGCCACUACCCCUCCUCCAAAAAAGAAGUCUUAGCAGUUGUCAAAGGGAUCAAAAACUUUCAAUUCUUUCUUUCACUAACUCCCUUUGUGAUUGAAACAGACUACAAAUACCUACAGGGAUUACUCAGGAGAAAAGAAGGAGAAAUACCAGAUCCACAGCUUGCAAGGUGGUCUGAGUCUCUCUCGAGAUUCAAGUUUGAAGUAAAGCACAUCAAAGGAGAAUCCAACACUGUUGCGGAUUUCCUUUCCAGACCGAUCACCAUGAUCAAAAGAAGAAGCCUUCCAAAAAGAUGGGACGAAGGCAGUUCUAGUGCUCACGCAGCCCGAGCACACUUUCUCAAAGAUCUUAACAUCUUCAUUGCUUGGCUUCCUUCGGAAGUUCAAGAUGACAUCUUUGAGAAAGUCAUCUGCCACAAAAGAGAUCCAGAAGAUCAAGCUCUGACAUGGCGGGUAUGGCAGCUCAUGGCCAUGCAGGAACACAGACCUGCCCAUAACAAACAAUGUCAAAGAGCUUUUGAUCCACAUCCAAAUCCUGACCAGAUGCAUGAAACGGUCUUCAAGGUCGGUUGCACCUUCCACUAUGUAAUAGACGAGAACUCCAACUGGGGUCACUAUGUUAUCUGCGAUAUAACCCCUCAAGCCUAUUACAUAACUUGGUACUGGCCCAACAUUUACCCAGUGGCAAUCCUGUUUGAACCACAUCUGAUCCAUACCAGCAGGAGAUAUGGGAAGGGAAGAUGGUUCGACCGAAUGUUCGCUCCUAUCUUCGAAGACAUCCUAACACUCCGGCUAAUCAACGGAUAUCACAUCACUCACUCUACUAUAGUGAUUGUGAAACUCACAGAUAUCUGGGGAAGAUACAAGCAGCCUCUUGUGCAGGUGGUCCAGCAUGACCUCAACCAUGAAGAAAUUGAUUCCAUGUGGACAGGCUGUUGGAAUGCUAGAAAAGCUUUAGCUGAGGUAUACGGAACUAUUCCAAUGUAUAAUACUCAUAGCCCCGUAUCUUCACAAGUCUGCAGUACUCCGGACCUCUACUACAGAGAGGAGAUCAGGAAUCUCAAGCUUCAUGGAGAAGAAGAUGAAGCAGCAGACUUGCAGCAGUGGUAUAAUGAUUACCUCACUCGCCAUGGCAGGCCAAAAGAAGUCACUUAUCUGGACACUCCAGAUAUUGAAAGAUGGAGGAACGAGCUUGAAGAAAUGGCCCAUUGGCUAGACCUCCAAGAUUGGCCCCAACCUGAGUUAGACCCCCAGCCGGAUAACAUUGAAGAUCCCAUAUGGCCAAAUAUGGGAGAAGAUAUGGAUGCAGCAUCCGAAGAACGAUGGAACCACAGGUCAGGACGUAGCACACCAACAAGUGGCAACUCUGGACUAUAGCGGAAGCUUAGUGGACCCUACAGUGGAAGCAAUGGUGAUAAUAAUAUAUGUAUUUGCAUUCGUAUGUAUUGUGUACCAUCCUUUGUGAUAAGGAUGAGAGUGUGAGUGUGACAUAAAGUAAGGAGUGAGUUGUAAAGUAGAUUCCUUAGAGAUAAGGAUCAAUAAUGACUACAGUGUGUAAUAGUGGUUCCCUUGUGCCUAUAAAAGGGAACCCUUGGUUUGUAUCUAGGCAUCGAGUCUUGGAGCCUAAAUCUAGUGUAUUGUAAAUCUCUCAUUCCUCUUAAUGAAGUAACCUUCCUCUGUUCUGAAAUAAACCCAUUUCAUGGUUAGACCAUUGACCUGAAUUAAUACCUUAAUGGCAUCUGUGAGAGAUGGCUUGUGUAUGUCAAGGGUGAAGUUGGGUUCAACUUGGAGAACAACAUGACCUUGGUUGAGUCCUGCUUCGACAGCAAUGAGAAGAAAAUGCACUUUUUGGAAUCUCAGGCUGAAGGAUUUUUGGUGCUUUAACUAAUCUCAUUUGACAAUGUAAAUAUAUGGCUUCAAUUUCUUUAAAUGUAAUAGCAAGUGUUGUUUUCGACCUCUGUUCUUUUAUGCAUUGCUUACAUGCCGUGAUUUCAUUAACCUAAAUUUAAGAACUGUUUGAGGGAAAUACAUCGAGGAGACCAGACGUGAUGAGCAGGUGUUUGGUGGUGGAGUUCUGCGAGCAGGAAUAUUCUCCUCGUCCACGAAUAUGCCAUUCGCGAGACCGAAUUCAUGUUAGAGGCAUAAGGUCAUUCCUGCUAAGGGUCGAGGCGAGGAGACCCGGUCAACGGCAGUUGGCAAGACGUGCCUUCCUAUCCGAGAAUCAAGGCACGAGGUCCAUCUCCAUUUGCCCACAAUGACGACAAUGGGGCAUCCACAUCCGAGGGUGGGGAGAAUAACGGGCGUAAACUGCGGAAGAUCGGGACUCAGAGGAAGCCUAUAAAAAGGUAGCCAACAAAGGUAAAAGGGUUAGAUUUUUUGCUAUUUGAACUAAGAAAAUAGAGAACUCGAAGGUCUGAGAUUAGUGAAAAGCCAUAAGAUCCGUGGCAAGCAUUCCCAGAACCUUCAUAUCUGACUUGAGCGUCGGAGGGUUUACGCCGGGAAAACAACCGGCGUGCUCUGACCUGUUUCUGUGGACGCAAGGAUACUUAGAGAAGAAAGCGUACGAGGAGAGAUCCUGAUCGAGGUGAGGUUGAUCGAGCAGACAUCCUGGUCGUUGGAAGGUGUAACCAGAAUCUCGCAUCAACAAGAACAAUUUCAUAUAAUUUUUUUUCUGCUUUUCUUUUAUCAUUUAAAAACAAUACUACGCACACACACACGCAUAUAUUUCAGAAAGCAUUUAAACAAAGCAACCGAACGUUGCUGGUUUCUAUUAUUACAUCGACAACAAUAAAGCAAAGAAGCAACUGAAAGUUAUCUUCAUAUGAGAAUGAAAGCUUUUCAGCAGCAUAAACCUUUCACUAUUCAAUUCCAAACAUGUUCCUCAACAUGAUAACAAAUUCGUAGACCUUUUCUAGGUCUAGAAGGAUCCUGGCAACAGUAUCUCUUUGCAUGCACUUGUUCAUCCAUGCUGAGAAUUUGGGGCACUCAUUCUCAAGCUUAAAUCCCCCAAAUUUCUCAACCGCGUAAAACCAACAAGUCAGUGGAAUGGAAAUGACAUCAACGAAUCCAAAGCUAUCCCCGCCAAAGAAAUCCUUCUCCCCUAAAGCGCCCUCAAGUUGCUUCAAAAUCUCUAUAAAUUCAUUCUUCGCGGUCUCUGGGACCUCGCCCUUGCUUUUCCAUAUGUUGCAUACUGCAUCGAAUACCUGCCAAAAAAGUGGUGUCAUCUUUUAAGUUCACAUUUAGAAAGAUACAAACAUUUACACUUGAGAAUUAUAGACUGACCUUCUUGUCAAUAAAAUCUUGCCUUAGCUCUCUCAUAAGCACAGGAUGGGAGAAGUGGUGGCGAAGGCCAAGUCUCGUCAAUGUAGUUAACUAUAAUAGUGGAUUCACACAAUGGUUUCCCAUCGUGCAGCAAAACUGGGACUUUCUUGUAGAUGGGUUUGAUUUGAGCAACAGGUCACUCUUGCCCCCAAACAAGUUCUCAGCUCUGGCUUCAUAUUCAACUCCUUUCUCAGCCAAUGCAAUCUUUGCUCUCAAGCAAAAUGGGCUAGCCCAACAAUCCAAAAGAACAACCUCUCCCUUCGACAUAUUCACUUUCUUUGUUCUUGUUUCUUUUACUUGGUUGAUAGUAAUUAAACCUUGAGUAUCAAGGUUGGCAUUUAUAAAGGAUAAAAGAUGAAAUUCCCAAAGUUUGUGUCGCAAUCAACGUUUGUUCGUUGGCACUUCCUUAAAGGAUGUGGCAUUAUUCUUAUCAUUUCUUAGUUUUUGAAGCUAACUGUUUUACUUGGCUUUCAACAUGCACAAGAACAAGUUUGUCUUGUGCAUACGGAGUUUACUAUGGACAAGCCGAAUUGUAAGUAACCAUUUACACUAAUCAAUCGGUAUUGUCCAAUGAAAAUAAGUAAUGUAAACUUAUCAAAAAAAAAAGUAAUGUAAAAAGUGUCUAGGAUUUUGCCUAAUAUUUCUUAAAAUAGGCUAAUUAAGCCCAAUUCUGGUGCUAGAUUGGUUCAACUUUGAAUCAAACUUGGAAACAUUUUGCUUUAGAUUAUUAUUAUUAAUUUAGAAGAGUCAAAAAGCUAAGAGUAUCGUUGGUAAAGCUCAAACAUGUGUAAUAUCACAUAUUACUUCUUUUUUUUUUUUAUACAAGUAAUAUCACAUAUUACUAGUGAGUGAGUUUCAUAAACUUUCCUAUUGAAAAAGACACAUUUUGGGUUGUAAAUCCUAACACAAUAUUUAUUCAGUUGUUGAGCCUGAAAUAUUACAGAUAUAUCAAAUAUUAUUUGAUGUGGGCGCACAACCCUGCGUCUUCUUAAUUAGGACAACCAAUGAAACCCUGCGUCUUCUUACAUAACUUGUAUGUACACAUUGGCGGGAUAUCCCAAUUAUGUACUCGUUUGUCUUCAUGUGUUUUAAAAAAAUCUAUUGUAAUGGAUAUAUUGUAAAUUUAUCUAAUUGCUUGUUAUAAUGCUUCUAUUGCGGUGUUAUUCGAGCUGUCAUUUUCAGUUUUAUUUUGUUUUUUCUUUAAACAUAGUUAAUUUGAAAUCCAUUACACUUGAAUCAUCAAAUAAGUGAUUCUCGAACAUAAUUGCUGUUGUUACUCGAAUAAGAAAAGAAAACAAAGUAUAGCUAAGAUAAAAGCAAAUGGAAAUGAGAGCAACGUGAUUUUGCAAAGAGAACUUCACACUAUCAUAAAACCAAAAACAUUAAAAUUUAAAACUUAAAUAACAACACACCAAAGCCAAAUAACGACCCACUAGAAUCAUGGUCCAAAGAUUGUACCAUGAUCACAACAUGAACUACAAAAAAAUAACCAACACCUGAAAAGUAGGAACAGUUUGAAACUUUCAACUAAAGUGGGAAAGACCAGGAUGGCACUGCAUGCCCAGCCCACCAACAUUAAAUGCUUUUUUCCCUUAUAAUUUAUCAGUCACAUAAUUUAGAGUGAAGACUUUAAUGCUGUGUUUACUUGCUGGAGUGGGAGUGAGGAGUGUGGAUUCCUCCCACUCCAGCGUUUACUUUCUCUGAAUGGGAAGGGAGUGGGAAUUCCACUCCGUGGGCCCCACCCAUUUUUGGAGUGGGGAGUGGGAGUGGGACUCCCAUAUUCCCACUCCCACCUCUCCCUUUUUUACCCUUUUAUUUUUUUAAUUUAAUUUAAUUUAAUAUUUUAUAAUUAAUAAAAUAAAAUAAAUAUUAUUAUAUUUAUUUGAAUAAUAAUAUUAUAUUUAACUAAAUAAUAAUUUGCAUUGAUUCUAAGUUAAAAUUAUUUUAAAAUAAUAUUAUUAUAUUAAUAGAGAAUUAAUAAAUAUAAUAUUAUUAUAUUUAUUUUAAAAAUAAUAGUACUAUAUUUAUUUAAUAUUAAUAAAUAGUUUAUUCUAAGAAAAUAUUAAUUUUGUACUAAAUAAUAUUAUAUUAUUAUUUUAUAUAAUAAUAAAUUUAAUAUAAUUAUAUUAAAUAAAAUAAGGUUUCAUUUUGUAUUAAAAUUAAUAAUUUAUUGUUGAUAAUUAAGAAUAUUAAUAAUUAUAAUAAAUUUACAAAUAUAAUAAAAUAAAUAUUAUUCAUUAAAUAUAUUUUUUAUUAGUUUUGUAAUUAAAAAUUAUAAUUCUUUAAAUAAGAAUAAAAUUGUAAUUUGAAACUAUUUACUCCCAAUCCAAGACAAAGUAAACACAUAAAUUGGAUUUUGAUCUCUAUUCCAUGCUUCCAUUCCAGUGUAAGUAAACAACCUACUCUCACUCCCACUCCACACUCUCAAUCCUAGGAUUUCCACUCCUCAGGAUUCCCAAUCCAAUCCAAAAAGUAAACGCUACCUAAAAGCAAAUAAAUGAAUUGGCUGAAUCUAGCUAGGAUGCCAGGAUGGGCACGGAUCCACAGAUAACAAGUAACAGUCUUUAAAUCUUCUGUUGUAAGUUCUUACGCCCCUUUUUUUUUAUACGACGAACCCCCGAUUCUACCCUCCAAAAUCAACAAUAGAGAAUUUAGUCUUAGCCUCUCAAGAUGCACUCAAACCUAAGGAUGGCAAUGGAUCAGAUCUGACCCAAGAUCCAUGUGAUCCAAAUCCAAUUGGAUCGAAUUUGGGUCGGAUUAAAAUAGAUUUGGAUCGGAUUUGGAUAUCGAUGCGUGGAUCUAAGGCGGAUCUGGAGCAAAUUCAGAUUUAUCUUAAUAUCUAUAUCCAAAUCCAUAUCCACUCACCAUUUAAUGUAAUUUUAUUUUAAAAAAUUCUUAACAAUUAUGUAAUUAUAAAUGAUGAUAAAAUUUAUUCAUUAGCAUGUAUUUAAGAAUCUUAAAACUUAAAGGUACUUAAUUGAUAAUAAGAUAAAAAUUUAUCAAGUGUAAAAUAAAAUUAGGAUAGUCUGCCCUAAUUUUUUUAAGUUUUUCACUCUACAAUUUAGUCUCUUUUUUCCUCUUUAGUCUACUCUCGCUUCUCCACUUCAUUUGAAUGCUUGGAUCAGUUCUUUAAUUGUUAGGAAAAUCCAUAGACUUGAGUUUAUUUUUCUAUCAUUUUCUCAUAAUCUUAUUUAUUUUGUAUAAUCACUAAUCAAUGGUGGCUAUCAACUAUAAAAUAAUUAUGUUAAUCAUAUAUUUAGUUAAAUAUGAUCAUAAUAAAAAUAAUAAAGCACUGAAUAUAAUAAAUCAUUUUUAACUUAUAUGUUAUUAUUUAAUGAUAUAGGAAUGAUGAUGGUGUGCAGUGGAUAUCAAGAUAGUAAAUGAGACAUUAGAAUAUUAUAAUGAUCUUAUUCAUGCAAUUACUUUUUAUCGAUAUUUUAUUAUCUUUUUUAUUUGUUUAUUUUGGUGUAAAAGCAGAAGCUACAAUACUUAUUAGAUUUUUUGUACAAAUUAUAUAAUUUAAUUGUUACCAAUGCAUUUUAGUCUUAAAUUUUUUUUCUAAAAAAAAUUGAUCUCUUAUUAUUGAGAUUUAGAAUUCAUGAUGGAUCUAGAGCAUAUUUAGAUUGUAAUUUUUCAAUUUGGAUUUGGAGCAGAUAUAGAUCUUUAUUUUUGUUUCGAAUCUAGAUAUGGAGCGAAAAUAUAGAUCCAUAACGGAUCUGGAGCAGAUACAGAUCUUAAUUUUUAUUACGGAUCUGGAUAUGGAGCAAUGUAGAUCCAAUCCAUAUCUGCUCCAUUGCCAUCCCUACUCAAACCUUGAGUAUGGUUUUUACUUACGUAUUAUCGAUUAUGAUUUUAACUAAUCUCUCUUGUCAACGAACUUUUGGUUGAUUAUGGACGCCUUUUUUUUUUUAAUCUAAACAAUAUAAGAUUUCGUACAAAUUGAAUUUGUAUAGACCUCAUCAUUUGGAACUUGUGUUGUAUCCAAAAAUAUCACCCAACCCAAAGAAAAUAAGUUCAAUUCUAUAACUCAUUCAUUUUUCUUAUAGCCCAAUGGAUUGAGAGAAUAGGCGUCAGAGGAAACUUUAUUUCAAUAUAUAAAUAUAGGCUUGCAUACAAUGCAAAAUCAUAUAUUCGAACCAAUAGGCGAAGCAUUGUCCCUCGUUGAUCCACAUGAGCCAACUAGUCAAAGUGGAUCCACAUGAGCCACUUUACAGACUGGGCAUGCAUUGCAACUGUUCAUUUUUGCUUCUGCCAAUAAAGAGUUGAUAGUAACCAAAGAUUGUAUUCUUUAUUGUCAUUUGAGAGUAACCAAUUACUUAGGCAGUCACGUAAGUUGCUGGUUGGCCUCGCACAUUUUUGACCAGCUUGUUUCUGAAGGAAACCAGCUGAGCUGCAACCUCUUCCAUGCUCAUUCGUUCUCUCGGCAACUCUGAAGAGCAAGUGACUCCGAUUGCCAGUACUGAAACCAAGCACUCUUUAACACUAAAACUUCUGGUCCAUUGUUUGUGAGCAUUGGCCUUGCUUGUCUCCCCUUCUUCUCUUUCUACAAGAAGCACUGGAUCAACAAUUUCAGCGAGUCUUUCAGGAAGAGCUUCCUUGACAAAAUUAUGUAGGGUUAGAUUGCCUGUAAACAUCUCAUUCGUCGGCCCCUUUCCUGUAAACAUUUCCAGCAAGAGUAUUCCAAAACUGUACACAUCUCCACUUGUUGAGACUUCGCUCCCCAUUCCGUACUCUGCAAUUCGAAAACUAAAAUUGUUGGUUCAACUAGUAAAAUCUCUAAGGAUUGAAAGACAAGUUAAUUAAAUUAUUGUAUUUACCUGGUGCAGCAUAACCAACGGUUCCUUUUACUCCAACAGAGCUUGAUUGAUUAGAUGACAAGUUAUUGGUGGCUUCCGGAAGGAAUUUUGCUAAUCCAAAAUCACCUACAUGGGCAGUCAAUUCACCAUCCAGAAGAACAUUGCUUGGCUUGAGAUCACAAUGGACUAUUGGAGUUUCGCAAUAAUGAUGAAGAUAAUCCAAUGCGGAAGCAACAUCAACGGCAAUAUUCAGUCUUUGCAGGAGAUUUAAGUUCCUUGGUGCCUCAGCGUUCGGAUGCAACCAUUCCUCCAGGCUCCCGUUGACCAUGAACUCAUAAACUAAAGCCUCGAAAUCAUUUCCUUGGAAGUCAACACUUGCACAGGAAGUUAUUAUUUUGACAAGAUUCCGAUGCCUAAUACUCCUCAAGGCUUGACACUCCGCUAUGAAACUCUUUGAAGCUCCACGAUGCUGAAGAUUAAGUACCUUAACUGCCACCAGCGUUUCAUGAUCAUCGUGACUGAGGAUUCCUUUAUAGACCGAACCAAAGCUACCGGCACCAAUCAAGUUUUCCAAAGAGAACCCAUCAGUUGCUUUGAACAGAUUCUCAUAGGACACUCGUAAAACCGAAGCCAAGAAUGCUGAUGGAGUGGCCGGCUCCCUUUUUGAUUUGCUCCGCCAGGAAGUAAUUAUAAAACACGACAUCCCUGUCACUAACAAAAUUACUGUAACUACAGGAAUCAUCAGUUUCAGGGAACGGGAACGUGACUGCUUGGAUUCUUUGAUGGAACAAGUAGAUAAAUGCAACUCAGAUAUGCCACCACAGAGGUUAUCAUUUCCAUCAAGAGAUAUAGCACUUGAAUUGCUGAAGACUCCUUUUACUGGUACUUCACCCUCAAAAUGAUUAAAAGACAGAUUUAAAUUCUGCAAAAAGGGAAAGUUUUCCAAAUAUUUUGGAAUCCGGCCGGACAAAUUGUUCCGCGAAAGAUCAAGAUUCUCAAUGCCUCUCAAAGAACUGAAUGACGAAGGUAUAUUCCCUUGAAAGAAAUUACCAUUCAUGAUGAGUUGCACCAACAAAAUGCAACUUCCUAAACUACUUGGAAUUUCACCAGACAAUUUGUUCUCAGAUAUAUCUAUAAAACCCAGAUUUUUCAAGAUACCAAAAUUUGAGGGCAUAGGACCAUUCAACUGGUUUUGAGAUAGAUCAAGAUAGAUUGACAAGGAAGAGAGGCCAAUUACUUCAGUGGGUAUGGUACCACUGAGGUUGUUAUUAGAAAGAUUUAAUGAUAUUAAGUUUUGGCAUUUCCCCAGACUUGAUGGAAUGCUUCCCUCUAACAUGUUUUCCUCAAAAUUUAGUGUAGUUAACAAUGUCAAAUUUCCUAUAGAAGAUGGAAUUUCCCCCCAAAACUUGUUCCCCUUCAGGCCCAACCUCUGCAGCUUUUGAAGAUCUCCUAUACUUUCCGGAAUUCGGCCUGUGAAUUUGUUGCCCCCCAGAUGUAAAAGCUCCAAGUUAACAAGAUUUCUUAAUCCACUUGGGAUAUUUCCGAACAACUGAUUGUUUCCAACUGAUAAUAUUGCAAGUCGGUUUGACAAGUUCCCUACUGUUUCAGGUAACAUUCCACCAAAAUUGUUAUCACUAAUUUGCAGUAGCUCUAGUCUAGAAGCGUUAACCAAAGAAUUGACAAAUUCCAAGUUAUCUUUUUCCCCAUAAUUUCCUAAGUGAUUCUGAGAAAUACUAACCCAUUGGAGUUUAUGUAAAUUUUCCAAACUAGGCACCCUUCCACUGAAUCCAUUCUUUGCGAUUGUAAGUCUCAUUAGAUUUGAGGCAUUGGAUAUUGAAGCCGGAAUAGGUCCGGUAAACUGAUUACCACCAACGUUUAGUACUUCAAGUUUAGGAAGAGUGAAGCCUAAGUCUGAUGGAAGGCUUCCUUGAAGUUGGUUAAAAGGAAAAUAAAAACCACUAAGCCAAGACAAGUUGUAGAUUGAAAAGGGGAUUUCACCUGAUAGCUUAUUUGCUCCAAACGAUAUAUAACGCAUCAUCUUAAGCUCGCUCAGGGUUUCAGGAAUUUGUCCCACAAAUUGAUUUGCAGCUGCUGAGAGGACCUGGAGUGAUGACAAAUUGCCGAAGGAAGGUGGGAUUUCUCCUGACAAAUUGUUGGAGUGUAUUACGAGAAUCCGGAGCUUUGGUAAGGAGCCCAGUUUCCCUGGAACUUUCCCCACUAGCUCAUUGAAGUCUAACCAGAGGGAUUCAAGGUUAACGCAAUGCGAUAUGUUGUCAGGAAUUUGACCUCCGAAUGUAUUGUUGUCCAGCCUUAAAAUUCGUAACCUGAACAGAUAUCCAAUCGCUUGAGGGAUUUCGUUGCGGAGGCUAUUGUUUUUUAGAUCUAACACUCUGAGAAAACUCAAAUUACCAAUGUGAGGCGAAAGAGACCCCUGCAAGAGUAAAGAUGGAAGACGUAAUCCAGUCACCCUUUGGUGCCGUCGACUGCAAGUGACACCUUUCCAUUGACAAAAGUGCCUGGAAUAGUUCCAUGAACUCAAAACCUCAAGAGGGUCAUGAGUAACUUUGGCCUUGAAUUCAAGCAAUGCAAGUUGAUCAGUUUCAUUGCUUUUGAGCAUAUAAUCGGUUGACUGCAAGCUGAAGCUGACGCAACAGAAAAUAAAGAAACAAAUGCUUACAAUGAUUGAACUCAUCAUGUUUACAAAAUCCAUUUAACUGCCGAAAGGAAAUUAAAAUGAUAAAACUUUUAUAGAGGUUGGUAAGAUAAACUAUGUUUGUAUAUUUUUUGCAAUGAUUUAUGGACUCUGUACUUGAUGCUCAAAUGUGAACCGGCUGGCACCGUGACAGUGAAACUAAUGCUUUUUAUUUUUCUAAUAAUAUUAAUUAUCAAAUUUAUUACUAUUGUAAGAAUAAUAUAAUACAGCUUUUCCUUUAAGGAAGACCCGCCACACUAACUUUUGACGCUCUAUCAGUUUCCAGUAUUUUGUCAUUUUGUAUUGUAGUGCUUAAUCCACAAUGAAUAUAAAACAAUUUAAUCAACAUUAUUAGAAAAAGAAAAAAAGUAGGAGAAGAAAGUUAAGUAUGAUGGAUGGAGGGUCAGAUUACUGUUAAAUGACUUAAAGGUUUAAAGCACCACAGGAAUCAACGUUUCACAACGCUUUUUUCCCUUUCUGAAAUAUUCGGUGCAUUAGUUGACUAGAAUUAUAAUAUAUCAAACAACUACAAGAAAUAUUUUAAUUUAUCAUUUUACUAUUAUAUAUUUACAUAACUUAUCAUUUUACUAUAUUUCCGUAGUACCAUUAGUUGACUAGAAAAAUGUUAAUUUUACUUUUGAAAAAAAACACAAAUGGAUAUAUUAAAUAUUUUUAGCUACUUUUUAUUUUGAAUUUAUAAUGUUGUAAUACUUUGUGUUAUUAUUACUUUUUAUUUUGCAAAAACAAAUUAUAUAAAGAGAAAAAUUAAUAUUUUAUCAAUUAACUAAUUGAUCUAUAUUAAUUGAAAUAUAAUAAAUUAAUAUUUUAUCAAUUAACUAAUUGAUCUAUAUUAAUUGAAAUAUAAUAAAAUAAUAUUUUAUUUUUAAAUAUAAUAAAAUAAUUUUCCCAUGAAAGAAAAUGAUGAGUUGUUUCAACGUAAUGCAGCUGCCUAGACUACAUGGAAUUUCACCAGGCAAUGACAAUUUAUUCUCAGAUAAAUCUAACGCCACAACAUUUAUCUAGUCACCCAAAUUUGCAGGCGUUCGUUUUGAGACUUGUCAAAACUUUUUCCAAAAAUUCGGGAUUCAGGUCAUAUCAGGCCGGUUAUGUUUUGAAAAACUUGUAAAUUAUCAGUGAUCAAACUUCAAAACUUUGCAAAUAGGUCAAAAUACGGAAAAAAACUUGAUAUAUUAUUGAAUACUCAUUUUGUUUUGCAUUAAUAUAACGCUAUGGGUGAUAUCUAGUUCUGUUGGUAAAAUUUCUUGGGUUGAAAACAAGAAAACUAGCAUUUCAAACUCACUCAUAUGGAUGGGAAAGAAAUUUAGUUAUUAUUGGAUUAAAAAAUAAUAAUGAGAAUUAGAAAAAAAUUAUAAGGCUUCAACGAGAUUUGCUAAUCAUGUAUAGAUUAAUAUGGAGAUUAAGAACAUCACCUAAGCUAAUUAUUGAACUUGAAAGUUUAGGAGAAAAAAUUAUAUGGGUUUGGCCAUCAAUUUAGCAUUCGGAACUUAUUGUUUAGGAAGCUACGGCGGGUUUCGUAGUGGGACUUAUCCUCUUUAAUGCAUAUGGUGAUUUUAAACCAACAUAUAUAUAAUCCUAUUAUAAAACUCAUCAAACCUUCUAAAAUAACAUGUUGAGAUAGUGUGCUAGAUCCAUAUAAAUAUUUCUCCAACUUCUUAGCUUGAAGCGAUAUUCAUUUCCAUUGAUAGUUUAAUGGGCAAAGCCUUUUGAAUUCUCCAUGUUAUCAAGUUAACUUUUGCUGGAAAAUGCAAUGCGGAUAUGAAUAGAAUUUUUUGUGCAAACAAUUUUUCUAUGUUGACACAUCCUCUGGAACUUUCAGUAAAUUUUAUGGAGAAGCUUCAAUUUCUUGGUUGUUGAUUUCGAAUACAUUAAGCUCUUAUUUGGUAUUAAAGUAUUGUGGGCUAAAAGCUAUAGUUUUUAUGGAAAGAAAUUUGUAAUUGCGAAAUAAAAGUUGAUUCAGUGUGAUAAAUAUAAUUUCAGAAUAAAAAAUAAAGUAAACUUCGAAAUUAUAAUAGUAAGUAUUUAUUAAAUACUUUAGUGUUGCAGUAACUGUUUACUACAAUAUCAAAUAGGGGGCUAGUACAACAAGUUGUUAUAUUAAAAGUCUCCCAAAAAGGAAGAAGUGACUUAAAAAAUUAAAAGAAUGCAGGAGCUGAAGUUGGCAAUUUUGUAAAUUGCAAUGGCGAUUGUGAUAUAGUAAAAUCCUUCAAUGAAUCACAGCACUAGCGAUUUCGUAAUAUACAGUAGCGGCAAUUUUGUAAAAUUGAAGUAGUGAUAGUUUUGCAAAUAAAAGUAAAAACUUUUUCCCAAAAUUUGGCUGAGCAAAAAGCCAGCUUAGCCCACACUCUCCUUCGCCACUGGUUGAUGAGCUCUUCCUUCAAUUUUUGAACUUGAAGUGAUGCCCCAUCAACGUCCAGAAUUUUUAAAGUCUCCCCACUGUACAAGUUAAACAAUAAAGUCAGAAUGAUGACGGAGUUACAAACAAUCAAAUAUGAUCCUAAUGAUUCUUUUUAUACACUCACCCGUGCAUUGAUGUGUUUAAUUGAUAUAUAUUUAAGCAGAAAUUGAAGUUUGAACCUGAUUAAUUAGAUGCGAACACACAUUCAUGAGUAAUUACUUAAAAUUAAUUAACCAAAAGAGUAAAUAUAGGAGGAAAUCGAUCAUAUGCGUGCGGACACCACAAUCGAAUUAUAUAUUUAUAUCACCACAGCACAUAAAUUUUAUUCGAAUGAUAUAUGAUUAAUUAAUCAAUUUUUAAUAACAAUUAAAUUAUAAUGUCAAUUGUGCACAUAAGAUUUUUUUUCUUGAUGAAAUUAUGAAAGUUAGUAAUUAUUUUCCAUUUUUUAAAUAAUAGUUGUUAAUACAAAUCAAAAAAAUAUUGGGACUUGAGAUCAGGGUCUACUUGAGUUAGAAUUUUUUAUUAGAGAAGCUAUUAGCCAGCAAUACAAAAUAAAGAAGCAACACAAGAUAAAGAGUAAUAUAUUAUAGAAAGAUUUUAUUCGUUUCAAGUGUGUAUCAAACAAAGAGAUAUUUAUAGUUACAUAAUUACUACAUGAAAUUAAUGAAAACAUUAUGGAUCAUACUUCCUUGCGAGAUAGUGAAAGUUAUAGAGAAGGCAAAGGUUGCUAGUGGAAGAUAGUAGAGAGAUUAAGAGAUGUAUGUUAUAAACAUCCAGAUUUAUUUUAAUAAAUUCAUAGCAUUUUUUCCCCUCAAAUAAUAGGGUGUAGAGAACAAUUGGAAGGAGUUUACGCAGCCUAUAAAUUAAUACUCUGACGAAUUAAUAUCCUCUAUUAUAUAAUGACUUUUUUUAAGCACACUAAUAGGCUAAAAUGACAGUUCCAAUAAAUAAAUAAAAUAAUAUAUUUUUUUUGAAAACCCUUACAUAAUAUUGUGGUCCUACUCAUAUCAUAAAUUAAUAAUUUUUAAAUUAUAUAUAAUUAUUACACAUAAAUUAUAUAUUUUUUAAUAAAUUCAUAAUAUUUUUUCUCAAAUAAUAGGGUGUAGAGAACAAUUAGAAGGAGUUUACAAGACUCGCCUAUAAAUUAAUACUCUGGCGAAUUAAAAUCCUCUAUUAUAUAAUAAUUUUUUUUAAGGUUGCUAGUAGGCUAAAAUGAUAGUUCCAAUAAAUAAAUAAGAUUAUAUUUUUUUUUAAUGAAAACCCUUACAUUACAUUAUGGUCCUACUCAUAUAAUAAAUUAAUAAUUUUUAAAAUUACAUAUAUAAUAUUUUAUUUUAAAAAUAUGAUUUUAUUUUUUAUUAUUUUUUCUUGAAAUUUAAAUAUAGUUAGAUUUCAUCUCUAAUUUUUCUUAUUACUUUUGAGGUUAAAUUUUGAAAUUGCAAAAAUUUUGAAUUUUUUUGGUUAAUUAAAUCUGCAGUGAGUGUAUAAGAUGAUUAGAUUAGUAAAAUAUAAUAAAUUUUUAGUUGAUUAAAUAUAUGUUCAUUUAAUAUGUCUUGUGUAUACAGAGUUUACUAAGGACAAGCCGAAUAGUAAGUGAGCAUUUACACUAAUCAAUCGUGUUGAGUUGUGUCUCAUAUUGGCUAGUAAAGGGGAGAUACUUGGGUUUAUAAGAAGGUAUGUCACUCCACCUAAAAGACUAGUAUUUUGGGUUGGAUACCUAGAAAUCUUAUGUUAAGUCCCCUCAACAAAUCGGUAUUGUGCAAUGAAAAUAAGUAAUCUAAAAAUUGCCUAGGAUUUUGCCUUAUAUGUCUCAAAAUAAGCUAAUUAUGCCCAAUUAUGGCACUUGAUGGUUCAACUUUGACAUCAAAGUUGGAAACGUUUUUCUCUAGGGUGAGGCUAUUUGCACUUGAAUAUCUACUUUGAACACUCAUUUACUCAGCGCACUCAAUUAAUAAUUUCAAACUAUUAAAUUUUACUUGGAACACUCUUUUGAAUUCCUAUAUUAUCCACAUUUCUUUAAUUACUUUAUUUCUUCUUUGUACCCAAUAAAAUAUUCAUCAUCACAAACAAAAUAUCUAACUUUUUUUUUCCAUUUUUAUUCACUUUUAUUUUCUGUUCAUAAUCUGUUUUGAUAUGUAUUUGUUCUUCUCUUAUUGCUACAAUUUAAUUCUGUUUGUCAACCCAUAAAAGCAUGCGAAUUGAGUGAAAAUCAAAGUGCAAAUUUAAAACAAAAUCCUUUGAUUUACUUGCGUUUUCUUAUGUUGGAGUGGUGCAAUUUGUUGUUUGUCCUCCACCUCUAUUUUUAAUUCCUUUUGUUUCAGUUAUAAAGAUGAUCAUGAACAUGUUACUUGAUGUUUUCCUAGCAAUUCUAUUAACCAAAAAAAUGAAAAAAAAAAGUUUAGUCCAUAAGUAUAGACAAUGUUUUCAUUUGAAUAUUGAUUCAAUUCUUCGUUGUUAAUGUGGUUUAUUGUAGAUAAAAUAUAAUGUUAGAUAAAAAUUUGUUAUACUGUAUUUUAUAAUUGUCCUUAAUAGAAAAUUACAUUAAGGUUAAUUUAGUAAUAUAAAAAUUAUUAAAUGUGAGUGUCCAAAGUAAAUUUUAGAGUGCAUAUAGUCUCACCCUUUUCUUUGUGUUAUUAUAAUUAAUUUAGAAAGAGUUAGAAAGCUAAGAGUAUCCUUAGUAAAGCUCAAAUAUGUAAUACAUAUCACUAGUGAGUGAGUUUCAUAAACUUUCCUAAUUAAGUAGAUGAAUUUUGGGUUGUAAAUCCUAACACAAUAUCUAUUCAGUUGUUGAGCCUAAAAUAUCACAACUAAAUCGAUAUUGUCCGAUGUAGUCAUGCAACCCUACAUCUUCUUAGUUAGGACAAUUCAUGAAACCACUUAUUUGGGAUGUAGGAGAUGAUACAAAAUUUGUAUGUGCACGUUGGCUUAAUAUCCCAAUUACACACUCGUUUGUCUUCAUGUGCUCCGAAAAGAUCUAUUGUAAUGGAUAUAUUGUAUCUUUAUCAAAGUGCUUGUUAUAAUGAUUCUAUUGUGGUGUUAUUCGAGUUGUCACUUUUAGUUUUUGAUUAUCUUUUUUAAACAUAGUUAAUUUGAAAUGUUCUUUAAUAUCCAACACACUUGAGAUCAUCAAAUAAGUGAUUCCCGAACAUAAUUGCCUCUGAUCAUUUUGUUUGUGCCAAUAAAGGGUUGAUACAAACCAAAGACUUCUUGUCUUUAUUGUCAUUUGAGAGUAAUCAAUUACUUACGCAGUCACAUAAGUUACUGGUUGGCCUCGCACAUUUGAGAGUAACCAAAUGGAAAUGAGAGCAACGUGAUUUUCCAAAGAGAACUUCACACUAUCAUAAAACUGAAAACAUUACAAUUUAAAGCUUAAAUAACAACACACCAAAGCCAAAUAACGACCCACUAGAAUCAUGGUCCAAAGAUUGUUCCAUGAUCACAACAUGAACUACAAAAAAAAAAAAAAAAAAAAAACCAACACCAAAAAAGUAGGAACAAUUUGAAACUUUCGACUAAGCAACAUUUAUGAUCACAUCAGCAGUCCUAAACACAUCUUCUAACAAUUGCAACUGUUCAUUUUUGCUUCUGCCAAUAAACAGUUGAUAGUAACCAAAGAUUGUUGUCUUUAUUGUCAUUUAAGAGUAACCAAUUACUUACGCAGUCACGUUAGUUGCUGGUUGGCCUCGCACAUUUUUGACAAGUUUGUUUCUGAAGGAAAGCAGCUGAGCCGCAACCUCUUCCAUGCUCAUUCGUUCUCUCGGCAACUCUGAAGAGCAAGUGACUCCGAUUCCCAGUACUGAAACCAAGCACUCUUCAACACUAAAAUUUCUGGUCCAUUGUUUGUGAGCACUGGUCUCGCUUGUCUCCCCUUCUUCUCUUUCUACAAGAAGCACUGGAUCAACAAUUUCAGCGAGCCUUUCAGGAAGAGCUUCCUUGACAAAAUUAUGCAGGGUUAGAUUGCCUGUAAACAUCUCAUUCGUCGGCCUCUUUCCUGUAAACGUUUCCAGCAAGAGUAUGCCAAAACUGUACACAUCUCCACUUUUUGAGACCUCACUCCCCAUUCCGUACUCUGCAAUUUGAAAAUUAAAACUGUUGGUUCAACUAGUAAAAUCUCUAAGGAAUGCAAAAGAAGUUAAUUAAAUUAUAGUAUUUGCCUGGAGCAGCAUAACCAACGGUUCCUUUAACUCCAGUAGAGCUUGAUUGAUUAGAUGACAAGUUAUUGGUGGCGUCCGGAAGGAAUUUCGCUAAUCCAAAAUCACUUACAUGGGCAGUCAAUUCACCAUCCAGAAGAACAUUGCUCGGCUUGAGAUCACAAUGGACUAUUGGAUUUUCGCAGUAGUGAUGAAGAUAAUCCAAUGCGGAAGCCACAUCAACGGCAAUAUUCAGUCUUUGGAGGAGAUUUAAAUUCCUUGGUGCCUCAGGGUUUGGAUGCAACCAUUCCUCCAGGCUCCCGUUCACCAUGAACUCAUAAACUAAGGCCUCGAAAUCAUUUCCUUGAAAGUCAACACUUGCACACGAAGUUAUUAUUUUGACGAGAUUCCGAUGCCUAAUACUUCUAAAGGCUUGACACUCCGCUAUGAAACUCUUUGAAGCUCCUCGAUGUUGAAGAUUAAGCACCUUAACUGCCACCAGCGUUUCAUGAUCAUCAUCAUUGAGGAUUCCUUGAUAGACCGAACCAAAGCUACCGGCACCAAUCAAGUUUUCCAAAGAGAACCCAUCAGUUGCUUUGAACAGAUUCUGAUAGGACACUCGUAAAACCGAAGCCAAUACUGCUGAUGGAGGAGGGGCCGGCUCCCUUUUUGAUUUGCUCCGCCGGGAAGUAAUUAUCAAACACGACAUCCCUGUCACUAACAAAAUUACUGCAACUACAGGAAUAAUCAGUUUCAGGGAACGGGCACGUGAUUGCUUUGAUUCUUUGAUGGAACAAGUAGAUAAAUGCAACUCAGAUAUGCCACCACAGAGGUUAUCAUUUCCAUCAAGAGAUAUAGCACUUGAAUUGCUGAAGACUCCUUUUAUUGGUACUUCACCCUCAAAAUGAUUAGAAGACAGAUUUAAAUUCUGCAAAAAGAAAAAGUUUUCAAAAUAUUUUGGAAUCCGGCCAGACAAAUUGUUCCGCGAAAGAUCAAGGUUCUGAAUGCCUCUCAAAGAACUGAAUGAUGAAGGGAUAUUCCCUUGAAAGAAAUUACCAUUCAUGACGAGUUGUUCCAACCUAACGCAACUUCCUAGACUGUUUGGAAUUUCACCAGACAAUUUGUUCUCAGAUACAUCUAGAACACCCAGAUUUUUCAAGAUGCCAAAAUUUGAGGGCAAAGGACCGUUCAAUUGGUUUUGAGAUAGAUCAAGAUAGAUUGAUAAGGAAGAGAGACCAAUCACUUCAGUGGGUAUGGUACCAGUGAGGUUGUUAUUAGAGAGAUCUAAUAAUAUCAAGUUUUUGCAUUUCCCUAGACUUGAUGGAAUGCUUCCCUCUAACAUGUUUCCGUCAAAACUUAGUGUGAAUAACAAUGUCAAAUUUCCUACAGAAGAUGGAAUUUCCCCCAAAAACUUGUUCCCCUUCAGUCUCAACCUCUGCAGCUUUUGAAGAUCUCCUAUACUUCCCAGAAUUCGGCCUGUGAAUUGGUUGUCCCCAAGAUCUAAAAGCUCCAAGUUAACAAGAUUUCCUAAUCCACUUGGGAUAUUUCCGAACAAUUGAUUGUUUCCAACGGUAAAUCUUUUAAGUCGGGUUGACAAGUUCCCCACAGAUUCAGGUAACAUUCCUCCAAAAUUGUUAAUACUAAUUUCCAUCAUCUCUAGUCUAGAAGCGUUGACCAAAGAACUGACAAAUUCCAAGUCAUCUUUUUCCCCAUUUCCUAAGUGAUUCAGAGAAAAGCUAACCCGUUGGAGUUUAUAUAAAUUUUCCAAACUCGGCACCUUUCCACUGAAUCCAUUUUUCUGGAUUGUAAGUCUCAUUAGAUUUGAGGCAUUGGAUAUUGAAGCAGGAAUAGGCCCAGUAAACUGAUUAUUACCAAAGUUUAGUACUUCAAGAUUAGGAAGAGUGAAGCCUAAGUCUGAUGGAAGGCUUCCUUGAAGUUCAUUAACAGGAAAAUCCAAAAGACUAAGCGAAGACAAGUUGUAGAUUGAGAAAGGGAUUUCACCUGAUAGCUUAUUUGCUCCGAAUCCUAUUGAACGCAUCCUCUUAAGCUCGCUCAAGGUUUCAGGAAUUUGUCCCACAAACUGAUUUACAGCUGCUGAAAGGAACUCGAGUGAUGACAAAUUGCCAAAGGAAGAUGGGAUUUCUCCUGACAAAUUGUUGAAGUGUACUGCUAGAGUCCGGAGCUUUGAUAAGGAGCCUAGUUUCCCUGGAACUUUCCCCACAAGCUCAUUGAAGCCUAACCAGAGGGAUUCAAGAUUAACGCAAUGUGAUAGGUUGUCAGGAAUUUGACCUCUGAAUGUAUUUUUCUCCAGGCUUAAUUUUUGUAACCUGAACAGAUAUCCAAUCUCUUGAGGGAUUUCGUUGCGGAAGCUAUUGUUUUUGAGAUCUAACACUCUGAGAAAACUUAAAUUACCAAUGUGAGGCGACAGAGACCCCUGUAAGAGUAAAGAUGGAAGAAGUAAUGCAGUCACCCUUUGGUGCCGUCGACUGCAAGUGACACCUUUCCAUUGACAAAAGUGCCUGGAAUAGUUCCAUGAACUCAAAACCUCAAGAGGGUCAUGAGUAACUUUGGCCUUGAAUUCAAGCAAUGCAAGUUGAUCAGUUUCAUUGCUUUUGAGCAUAUAAUCGGUUGACUGCAAGCUGAAGCUGAAGCAACAGAAAAUAAAGAAACAAAUGCUUACAAUGAUUGAACUCAUCAUGUUUACAAAAUCCAUUUAACUGCCGAAGGAAAUUAAAAUGAUAAAACUUUUGUGGAGGUUGGUAAGAUAAACUAUGUUUGUAUAUUUUUUGCAAUGAUUUAUGGACUCUGUACUUGAUGCUCAAAUGUGAACCGGCUGGCACCGUGACAGUGAAACUAAUACUUUUUGUUUUUCUAAUAAUAUUAAUUAUCAUAUUUAUUACUAUUGUAAGAAUAAUAUAUUGCAGCUUUAAAGAAAGACUCACCAUACUCCUUUUCGAGUCCUGUCAGUUUCCAGCAUUUGGUCAUUUUUUUAUUUCACCGCUUAAUCCACAGUAAAUAUAAAACAAUUUAAUCAACAAUAUUGAAAAAGAAAAAAAGUAGGACAAGAGAAAGGUAAAUACUGUUAAAUGAGUUGGGAAACGUUCAAAGCACGACGGGAAUUAAAAUUAUAAACUUUUAUAAAGGUUGGUAAGAAAAAACAUAUUUGUAUAUAUUUUUUUCAAUGAUUUAUGGACGCUAUACUUGAUGCUGAAAUGUGAACCGGCUGGCACCGGGACAGUGAAACUAAUGCUUUUUAUUUUUCUAAUAAUAUUAAUUAUCAUAUUUAUUACUAUUGUAAGAAUAAUAUAAUACAGCUUUUCCUUUAAGGAAGACCCGCCACACUAACUUUUGACGCUCUAUAAGUUUCCAGUAUUUUGUCAUUUUGUAUUGUAGUGCUUAAUCCACAAUGAAUAUAAAAGUUUAAAGCACCACAGGAUGAUGGAUGGAGUUUCACAUUACUGUUAAAUGACUUUGAAAGGUUUAAAGCACCACAGGAACCAACGUUUCACAAUGCCUUUUUCCCUUGUGAAAUAUUCAGUGCAGUCUCUCCCAGAUUUUGCUAGUGCAACAACGAGACGUCAUGCCGUUAACAAUUUUAAACUGUAAAUGACAUGUUGUUUUUACAAGACAUAUUAUGCGUCGAUACAUACCUUUUCUGGUUGUUGGUUUAUAAAAAUAUAUGAAACGGCAUGAGUGUGACAACUCUUGUAAAAUUUUUAAAAACAACAUAAUCAAUGGUAUUCUUAUCUCCCAGCUGCCGUUUGCCGUUUGGAAUUGUUCUGUAUAAGAUCUUGAUCAUCGAAUUUACCACUAGGGCGUAUGCUUUAUUUUCUCGAAUUACAUUGCUGCCUCAUCUUUUGUGUUUUCGGUUCUGUUGUGGAUCUCCUCUGUUUUUUUCUGAUUUUGGGCCCGAAGGGCACGUUAAUUGAAAUCAACAAAUCUGGUAAAAAUGACGUUAAAUUCGAUCAGAUUUACAUAUUUAAUUACAAAUGCAGUAACCCCGAUCAGAUGCAUACACUAAUUUUAUUUAUUUUGUCAGCUUUAACCUCACUGUCAUUUUGAAUAGCCUACAAGAGUCGAAUGACUAGAUUUCCAAUUUGCUAUCAUCCCCCUUGAAUGGGUUCAAGAAAUUCAGCAGGUUGCGAAACAAUAAGAUUCAUUCAAUCCGUGUAGAUAUCUAACUGACUGAAAUUAAAUAAAUGAUGAUGAUAAGAAAUUUGAAAUCAACAAAUCUCGGCACAUCUAUUCUGCAAUUUAGCCGUACUUCAAAUAAUCUUGCGAUAAAAAUUUCUUAAAAAUCUCAGAAAGAGGACAGAACAACCAAGGCAUCAGCGAAAGCAAUCGAUGUUAGGAAAUUGGUGGGUGCAGCAGUACCGCAACUAAAAUAAAAUUGGAAAUAAAAUAAAGAACAAGCACAAUAGAGGACACCAAAAAUUACGUGGUUCGGCUUUUAGCCUACAUCUACGGGCGAAGACAGAAGGAAAUAUUUUACUAGUGAAAUAAGGAUUACAAGUAUUGUAAGAUUUUAGCUCACUACCCAAAACCCCAAUACACCCAAUCUCUCACUCACUACACAUGCAAGAGUUUAUUAAACUCUUGAAAACUCUCAACACUCAAAGAAAGAAAAAUUUCUCUCAAUGGAAUUGAAUACAAAAUGAAAUGAGGAGCUCUGCCUUUUAUAGCCAAAAAAUGGCUAUUAAAUUAUUAUUUUUACCACCGUCUUCAUUCUGCUAUUUUCUUCUUUCUUCUUUUUUCUUCAUUCCAAAUUUGCUGCUGCCAAAUUCUUCAACAUUUUCUUUGGCCGGCUGUCAAAGCCAACUUUGCUUAUUCAAGGGUUCUAGAUGCAGUAGCUUCUAGAUGCAGCCAAAUUUGACAUUCUCCCACUUGGAGAUUAGAUUGAGAAUCAAUCAAUCUCCACAUCAUCCUUUCUGUUUCGCCAUAAUCAUGUUGCCUACGUUGCUGCUAGGCCACAAGAGGAUCUACUCCAGAUAAACUUGUCAGCAUUUAUUGGCUUGGUCAAAACAUCUGCUAGGUUCUCCUUCGUAUGGAUUUUCUGCAAAUCCACACUUCCAUCUUCCACUACUUCUCGAACGAAGUGAUACUGAACUCCUAUGUGCUUUGUCCUGGAAUGAAAGGCUAGAUUCCUUGCAAUGUGCAAGGCACUCUGACUGUCACAAAACACAAGAAUUUUCUGUUGUUUGUGCCCGAGCUCCUCCAAUAAUCUUUGUAUCCAAAUAGCUUCCUUGCAAGCUUGUGUAGCUGCCAUGUAUUCUGCUUCUGUUGUAGAUAAUGCCACAACGGUCUGCAGUUUCAAAACCCAGCUUACAGCUGCUCCCGCAAGUGCAAACACAUAACCAGUAGUGGAUUUCCUUUUAUCAAGGUCUCCUGCAAAAUCUGAAUACACAUAGCCCCUGACAGUAAACUCUGAUCCUCCAUAACAUAAUGCAACAUCUGAGGUUCCUCUGAUGUAUCUCAGAAUCAUCUUCACAGCUAUCCAAUGCUCUCCGCCAGGAUUCGCCAUGUAUCGACUGACUGCUCCCACUGCUUGUGCAAUGUCCGGUCUUGUACAUAUCAUAGCGAACAUUAAACUUCCCACUGCUGAUGCAUACGGUACUCGAGACAUCUCCUUCCUCUCUGCUUCAUUGCUAGGACACAUACUUGAGGAUAAUUUGAAAUUAACAGGAAAUGGGGUAGAAAUUGACUUACAAUCUUGCAUGUUGAAGCGCCGCAAGAUUUUCUUCAAGUAAUUCUUCUGUGAUAGCCAAAUCUUCCUGUUAUUUUUGUCUCGGUGAAUUUGCAUCCCUAGAAUCUUGUUUGCUGGUCCCAAGUCCUUCAUUUCAAACUCCCUAGCCAACUGUGCCUUCAAUUCUUGGAUUCGAUCUUUGUUGGGACCUGCUACCAACAUGUCAUCUACAUACAACAGCAAAAUGAUGAAAUCAUUAUCUUCAAACCUCUUGUAAUAUGCACAAUGGUCUGAACUGAGUCUGUUGUAUCCAAGGCUCAUGAUGAAGGAAUCAAAUCUCUUAUACCAACACCUCGGCGCCUGUUUGAGACCGUAUAGAGAUUUGUUCAACUUGCAAACCAAGUUCUCCUUUCCUGUUUCUGCAAAACCUUCUGGUUGGAGCAUAUAUAUUUCUUCUUCAAGUUCUCCAUGAAGAAAUGCAGUUUUCACAUCUAACUGCUCUAGAUGUAGGUCAAAUGUAGCACACAUUGCCAAGACUAUUCUGACUGUUGUGAGUCGAACCACGGGCGAAAAUAUCUCGUUGAAGUCAAUGCCUUCUUUCUGAGCAUAUCAUUUCACCACCAAUCUUGCACGAUACCGCUCCACUUGGUCAUUGCCAUCACGCUUGAUCUUGUAGACCCAUUUGUUUCCAAUGGCUUUUCUUCCAUGUGGUAGUGGUACAAGUUCCCAUGUCUUGUUCUUGUGUAGAGCUUCAAUUUCUUCCUGCAUUGCUGUCAUCCACAAAGCAACAUCUGAGCUGUUUAAAGCUUCAUGGAAAGUUGAAGGCUCUCCAUCCUCUGUUAAAAGACAGUAUGCAACGUUGAUCUCUGUGACAUACUCAGAGUGCCACACCGGCGGUCGUCUCUCACGAGUUGACCGACGAACUUCUGGAGCCUCGGACUCGACUGGUUCUUGUUCCUCGUGCUCUGGUGCUGCUUCAGAAGAAUCUGAAUCUUCUGGAUUAUUUUCUACAUAUACCGGCACAAUCUCUGACUUUUCUUUUACAGUGCCAUCAUCUCCAUCUUUCAUUUGCAGUUGAUCUUCUACAAAAAUAACAUCUCUGCUGAUGACGAUCUUGUGGGCAGUGGGGUCCCACAGACGAUACCCCUUUACUCCAUCAGCAUACCCCAAGAAGAUACAUCUUCUAGAUUUUGGAUCCAACUUUGUUCUUUCUUGGGCAUUGUACAUCACGUACACAGGACAUCCAAAUGCAUGUAGGUAGGAAUAAUCAGCUGGCUUUCCAGUCCACAUCUCCAUCGCCGUCUUCAACCCAAUCGCUGUAGAUGGUGAUCGAUUUACUAUAUAACAGGCAGUUUUGGCUGCUUCUGCCCAUAAUGAAUUGGGUAAACCAGCAGUCCUCAACAUAGCUCUUAUUCUUUCUGUAAGAGUUCUGUUCAUCCGCUCUGCCACUCCAUUUUGUUGAGGAGUGUACGCCACCGCGAACUGCCUCUGAAUACCUUCUUGCUUACAGAAAGCAAGAAACUCGCCCUCUGUAUAUUCUCCACCAUUAUCCGUCCUCAAGCACUUGAUCUUUUUACCAGAUUCAAGUUCCACACGCGCUUUGUAUUCUUUAAACACAGGAAAUACAUCUGACUUUUUCUUAAUUGGAUACACCCAACAUCUUCUAGAAUAAUCAUCAAUGAAAGUCACUAUGUACUUUGCACCUCCCAUGGAUAUAUCCGGUGAUUCCCAAACAUCAGAAUGAAUCAAGUCUAGAAUGCAUUUACUUCUAGCAAUAGAUCUACUGAAUUUUAAUCUAUGCUGCUUACUUAUAACACAAUGCUCGCAAAAUGGUCUGAAUUUUAAUCUAUGCUGCUUACUUAUAACACAAUGCUCGCAAAAUGGUAAACUUACCGAUUUGAGCCCCGGAAGCAAUUUUCGCUCAGAGAGAAUCUUCAAGCCUUGUUCUGACAUGUGACCAAGUUUGAGAUGCCACAUCAUCGUUGAUUCUUCUCCAUUUGACGCGACACACGUAUUAGCCUCCUGUAGUGUUUCUCCUCUAAGCAUGAAUAGAUUAGCACCGAUCUUUUCUGCUUUCAUCAAUACAAGCGCGCCUUUAACGAUCUUCAUAAUUCCAUUCUCCACAUGAGUUUUGUACCCAUGACUAUCCAUGUGUCCCAAAGACAAUAGAUUUUUCUUCAAGCCAUUGACAUGUCGUACCUCUCCAAUUGUGCGAAUUGUACCAUCAAACAUUUUUAUUUUGAUAGUACCAAUACCAGCGAUCUCCAAGGCAUGAUCAUCUCCCAUAUAUACAGAUCCUCCUGAGAUAGGUUCAUAUGUGUGGAACCAUUCUCUCCGAGAGGUCAUGUGCCAGGUAGCUCCUGAGUCUAUAAGCCAGACAUCAGACAAUCGUUUUCUGCCUUCUGAAACAGUUGUUGCCUCGCUGUAAAGAAUUUCGCCAUCAUCUGAGGUACUUGCUACACAACCCUGAGCAUUUGAUGACUCAGGUUCUUUUCCCUCUUUUCUCUUCUGGUUACUCCAACAUUCUUUCUUGAUGUGCCCUUUCUUGCCACAUUUGUAGCAUUUAACAUUAUUCUUACUCAUGGAUUUUGAUCUACCCUGAUUUUGACUCCCACUGGGGCCACGUUCCGUUGAUCUCCCUCUCGUCACCGAUAGCGCCUCCGCUUGCUGCGAACUUGCUUGUCUGUUUUCCUUAUUUUUCCACCUGCUCUCCUCAUUUAAUACGGAGGCUGCAACAUCGUCGAAAACUAGACUCUCCACUGGAUUGUUGUUCGUCAGGUUGAUGAUGAGUUGAUCAUACGAAUCUGGUAGACUUUGAAGUAGAAGCUCUGCACGUUCAUUUUCCUCUAUAUUAUGACCCAACAUUGUGAGUUGUGAAAAUAGAGUCUUCAAUGUGUUGAUGUGGUCGGUCACCAUUGUAGAUUCCGUCAUUCGAAGAGUAUAGAGUUUUCUCUUCAAGAAGAUUUUGUUGUGUAGUGACUUGGCCUCAUACAAUUUUGUGAGAGUAUCCCAUAUUUCCUUCGCCGUAUUUUUCUCUGCCACACUGGAUAAUACUCCAUCCGCAAGUGCCAAGUGUAGAUCAGAAAUGGCGUUGCCGUCUACCUCGUUCCACUUGUCAUCAGUUAUCUCCAUGGGCCUUUCUCCAAUUGCUGCCAAACAAUUAUUUUUCCUCAAUACAGCUUUCAUCUUCAUUUUCCACAAUGAAAAAUUAUUUCCGUUAAACUUCUCAAUUUCAUACUUUGCCGCCAUUUUGUUGAUAAAUACUGUACACAAGUUAGUGUACCACCUUGAAUAGUUGUGAGUAUGUGUGAUAAUGCACACCAGGAAAGUUCCCAGGAAAGACUGGAGGGGUCACAAUGGUCCCACUUAAAACCCAGACUCCUUAAGCUCUUAUCGCCUUUGUGACAGAACUUUCCUAGACAUGUACAAAACCACAGUUGUUUUUCUCACACUACUAUUCCCUGCUUUGCACCGGAAAAUUCUUGGAUCGCUUCCACCGUUUCACGUGAAUAGUACCGUAUACGUGAACAAUACCAUAUAUGUGAACAAACCCGUAUACGUGAACAACACAGUAUACGUGAAUAGUGUCGUAUACGUGUACAGUGCCGUAUACGUGAAUAGUACCCCUUACGUGAACAGUUCCCGACUCCAAAAAUACAACCAAUAGCUCUGAUACCACUGUUAGGAAAUUGGUGGGUGCAGCAGGACCGCAACUAAAAUAAAAUUGGAAAUAAAAUAAAGAACAAGCACAAUAGAGGACACCGAAAAUUACGUGGUUCGGCUUUUAGCCUACAUCCAUGGGCGAAGACAGAAGGAAAUAUUUUACUAGUGAAAUAAGGAUUACAAGUAUUGUAAGAUUUUAGCUCACUACCCAAAACCCCAAUACACCCAAUCUCUCACUCACUAGACAUGCAAGAGUUUAUUAAACUCUUGAAAACUCUCAACACUCAAAGAAAGAAAGAUUUCUCUCGAUGGAAUUGAAUACAAAAUGAAAUGAGGAGCUCUGCCUUUUAUAGCCAAAAAAUGGCUAUUAAAUUAUUAUUUUUACCACCGUCUUCAUUCUUCUAUUUUCUUCUUUCUUCUUUUUUCUUCAUUCCAAAUUUGCUGCUGCCAAAUUCUUCAACAUUUUCUUUGGCCGGCUGUCAAAGCCAACUUUGCUUAUUCAAGGGUUCUAGAUGCAGUAGCUUCUAGAUGCAGCCAAAUUUGACAAUCGAGGCAGGGCACGCUCAAGCCACGAAUUAGAGGAAUUUUAAAUAUCAAAACCAGCUCAGAAUAAUAAGAAGUAAAAUGAAACUAAAAAAGGCUCAGAUUUUUGGAUGAGUGAAGGGAAGAUGAGAAGAUGAAAUGCAGAAAGUCAAGAAAUGAAUAAACCAAUAUUAAUAAUCUUGGACCCACAUCUCUAAUUUGGAUUAAGCAUCCAUCUGCCUAUGUGGAUAAUAUUUUUGCUAAUUUUUCAGCCAUGCAGCAGGAUCAUGUUCGUCUUGUUUUAUUUGAUAGAAGGAAUUUUCCCUUGGAAGAAAAUGAUGAGUCGUUUCAACGUAAUGCAGCUACCUAGACUGCAUGGAAUUUCACCAGACAAUGACAAUUUAUUCUCAGAUAUAUCUAAAUCUAACGCCCCCACAUUUGUUUAGUCACCCAAAUUUGAAGGCGUCCGUUUUGAGACUGAUCAAAACUUUUUCCAAAAAUUCGGGAUUCAGGUCGAUCAGGCCGGUUAUGUUUUGAAAACUUGUAAAUUUUCAGUGAUCAAACUUCAAAACUUUGCAAAUAGGUCAAAAUAUGAAAAAUUCUUGAUAUAUUAUUGAAUACUCAUUUUGUUUUGCAUUAAUAUAAGGCUAUGGGUGCUAUCUAGUAAUGUUGGUAAAAUUUCUUGAGUUGAAAACAAUAAAACGAAAAUAGCUCUAAUAGAUCCACCCCUGUUUGAAACUCACUCAUAUGGAUGGGAAAGAAAUUUAGUUACCAUUGGAUUAAAAAAUAAUUAUUAUUAUUAGAAAAAAAAUUGUAAGGCUUCGACAAGAUUUGCUAAUCAUGUAUAGGUUAAAAUUUAUGUGGGUUUGGCCACCAAUUUAGCAUUAGGAACUUAUUGUUUAGGAAGCUAUGGUGGGUGUCGUAGUGGGACUUAUUCUCUUUAAUGCAUAUGGUGAUUUUAAACCAACAUUUAUAUAAUCCCAUUAUAAAACUCAUCAAACCUUCUAAAAUAACAUGUUGAGAUAGUGUGCUAGAAGUAUUUCUCCAACUUCUUAGCUUGAAGCGAUGUUCAUUUCCAUUGAUAGUUUAAUGGGCAAAGCCUUUUGAAUUCUCCAUGUUAUCAAGUUAAUUUUUGCUGGAAAAUGCAAUCCGGAUAUGAAUAGAAUUUUUUGUGCAAUCGAAUUUUCUAUGUUGACACAUCUUCUGGAACAUUCAAUAAAUUUUAUGGAGAAGUUUUAAUUUCUUAGUUGUUGAUUUCGAAUAUAUUAAGCUCUUAUUCAGUAUUAAAGUAUUGUGGCCUAAAAGAUAUAGUUCGUAUGGAAAGAAAUUUGUAAUUACAAAAUAAAAAUUGAUAAAGUGUGAUAAAUAUAAUUUCAAAAUAAAAAAUAAACUUAACUUCAAAAUUACAAUAGUAAUUAUAAAGUAUUUACUAAAUACAUUAGUGUUGCAGUAACUGCCCUACCACAAUGACAAAUAGGGGGCUAAUACUACAAAUUGUUCCAUUAAAAGUCACCCAAAAAGGAAGAAGUGACUUAAAAAAUUAAAAGAAUGCAGGAGCUGAAGUUGGCUAUUUUGUAAAUUGCAAUGGCAAUUGUGGCCUAGUAAAAUCCCUCAAUGAGUCACAGCACUAGCAAUUUCGUAAUAUACAUUAGUGGCAAUUUUGUAAAAUUGAAGUAAUGAUAGUUUUGCAAAUAAAAGUAAAAACUUUUUCCCUAAAUUCGGCUGAGCUAAAAACCAGCUUAGCCCACAGUCUCCUUCGCCACCGGUUGACGAGCUCUUCCUUCAAUUUUUGAACUUGAAGUGAUGCCCCAUCGAUGUCCAGAAUUUUUAAAGUCUCCCCAUUGUACAAGUUAAACAAUAAAGUCAGAAUGAUGAUCCUAAUGAUUCUUUUUAGAGAGUCACCUGUACGUUGAAGUGUUUAAUUGAUGUUUAUUUAAGCAGAAAUUGAAGUUUGAUCCUGAUUAAUUAGAUGAGAACACACAUUCAUGAGUAAAUACUUAAAAUUAAAUUAAUCAAAAUAGUAUAAAUACAGGAGAAAAUCGAUCAUAUGCGUACAGAAAUCACAAUCGAAUUAUAUAUAUCACCGCCGCACAGAAAUAACAAUUAAAUUGUAAUGUCAAUUGUCCACAUAAGAUUUUUUUUUUUUUUUUUUUUUUUUUUGUUGAUGAAAGUUAGUAAUUUUUUUCCAUCUUUUUAAAUAAUAGUUGUUAAUAAAUAUCAAGAAAAUAUUGGGACUGGAGAUCAGGGUCUACUUAAGUUAGAAGUGAGAGUAGUGCAGAUAUGUGGGGAUUAUAUGCAAGGUGGCUUAAAAGUAAAGGAGAUCUUACAAUGUGCUCUGAAGCCCUCUUAAAGCAAGUCAGAUCAUAUCAGGUUUCUCCAUAAAUCUCAUCAUCUUAUAAUAAGUUAGCAUUAUGUUUUACUUUGAUGUUGAUGGAAUUUGUUAAUGCUAAUCAAAUUUUGUUAAUCUCCCUCUCUUUUUUUUUUAAUUUAAAAGAAGGCAAAUAAAAAGCUUUGUGAUUUCAUUUUUGUUUUCUAAAUUUGUUAUCUAAAGGAAUGACAAGUUGAUAACUCAGCCUCUGUGUGUGUGUGUCUGUGUCAGGGAUCUGAUUUGUGGAAAGAUAGAGAUCGGUUUAAAAGGUUUUCAUAUGCAUCCUUGGAACUUUGUAAGGUUUACAUGGAAAUUUCUUCCUCUUCCGGUAGCCGUCGAGAGCUCUUUGCUGCUGAGAUGCACCUGAAGAACGUACUUAAACAAGUAAAACACCUUAUAAUUCGAUAUUUAAGACACUUACAGUUGGUUUAAAGAUUGUAUUUUCUGUUUCUGUUUUUGACUGGUUCAGGGUAAAACUUUUUCUCACUGUGUUAGAGUGCAUUUCUGUUAUUAUAUAGUUUCUUAGAAGAAAAUGCACUUUUUGGAAUCUCAGGCUAAAGGAUUUUCUGACAUGGAAGAGUUCAGGGAUCUUCAAGCUUGCCUUGAUGAAGUGAAGACAAAACUCCAAUCUGGUCCCGUGGCUACCUAAGUAUCAGGAAUGUGCUAUUUUUGAAAUUUAGUAACAAGGUUAAAUCUGCAACUAAAAAUUAUUUUAGUUUGUACUGUAGUGGAGACCUUAAGCAGGACUGAAUAUCUUGUAUUGUUGUAUCACCUUUUCUGUAACAAAACGGUCUAGUUUUACUAUUUUUAUUAUUUUUGUAUUUUCGGUGCUGUAACUAAUCUCAUUUGACAAUUUAAAUAUAUGGCUUCAAGUUCUUUAAAUGUAACAUCAAGUGUUGUUUCAACCUCUGUUCUUUUAUGUAUUUCUUGCAUGCGGUGAUUUCAUUAACCUCAAUUUAAGGACAAUUUCAUAUCUUUUUUCUUUCUGCUUUUCUUUUAUCAUUUAAAAACAACACACACACACACACACACAUUUAUAUUUCAGAAGAGGAAAUUGCACGGGAUAUGACUCAAUACUUGCUAAAUGCCAAGACUAUGACCCAAUUAUUUACAUGCCGAGACUAUGACCGAAUAACAAGUGAAAGUACACAAAUAUCCUUAUAAGUAACUAAGUUAAAAAUAUAAAACUUGAGUUAGGAAGUUUAGGAAUGCAUUGAACUUGUAUUCAUUACUUUGAUUAAUCCAUUUACCGUUAUACAAGACAAUAACACGUACCAUAUCCAUUUACAUAAAAAUUAUGAGUUGACAAAGUAAGAAUAUUAACAAAAAUAAGUUGUUAAAAGUUCUUGUAGACUUCUGUGCUUCAGUUCUAGACUUCUAGAUUUAUAGACUUACCUACAUGUCUAUAAGUCUAGAUGUAAAGAAGUCACGAAAACGAUAACAAUGAUAAACAAACUCAAUUCAACAACAAAUUUGAUGUGUAAAAAUUGUGUUGAAGAAUUUUUUGGAAUCUGUUUGAAUUUGUUAAGGGAAUGUGAUGAUUUUAGUAAGUGUUUGAUAACAACUUAGAAUGUUGGACGCAUUAUAGUGCUGGGUGCAUGCUUUUGUUGGAAAAGAUAAGGGCAUUUUAGACUAGGGAUCACCAAAAUGUCAUACAAAUUUAAUUGAGUAAAAUUUGUCAUAUUUAUAUAAAAUGUACAUGAUUUUGUCAUAUAUAAAUAAAAAACCCAUUUCAGAAAGCAUUUAAACAAAGCGAGAGUACAAUAAAAAACCCAUUUUAGAAAGCAUUUAAACAAAGCCAGAGUACAAUAUAGAAAGAUUUUACUCAUUCUAAGUGUGUACCAAACAAAGAAAUGAACUCUCCUUUUCUAGUUAUAUAAUUAUUACAUGAAAUUAAUAAAAACAUGACGAAUUAUAAUUCCUUGCGAUAUAGUGGGGGUUAUAGAAAAGUCAAGAGUUGCUAGUGGAAGAUAAUAGGGAGAGUACAAUAUAUAUAUUAUGAACAUUCACAUUUAUUUUAAUAAAUUCAUAGCAUUUUUUUUGCUUAAAUAACAGGGUGUAUGUAUAUAUAUAUUGACAUAAAAAUUGCAUGACGUGUGGUUUAGCGUUUCUUGGUUGUUCAGUGCUAGUUUUAUGUCAAUUUUUAUUGACAUAAAAAUUGCAUGACACAAAAAAGGCUGUUUUAACCAACUAAAAACCAAAAGCUAAAACCCAAAACCCCCCUCUUUUUCGUUUUCCAGGGACUUCACCUUGAUAUUCAACCAACACUUCUGAUGUCUGCCCUUCAAUAAACCAAGUCAUUCAUACACAUGAUUCUACUAUUGGUGAUGCCUCUGAUGUUUUUGUGACCCCAAAAUUAUUGGGGAAUAGUCAUGAAUCUGAAUCUGGAGUCCAAUGCAUUCACGCUGGUGGCUCAGCAGCCCAUUUAAAGGCAAUCCAACAGGCAGUGAUCUUGUCGAGGUGCCUUCUAAUAGAAAAGAGCUCAUGGCAAGAUGAAAUGCAAAGUAAGUUGUUUUAUGGUUGGCCGGUGUGUAGUCAUCUCGUUAAAGGCCAUAAGAUGUUUAGCAUAUUGCUAUUUAAUUUUUAAAUCAUUCUCAGUAAUAAUUCCUUUAGUAGAUUGAUGAUAAGAGAUUGCAUUACAGAUGAUAACGGAGCACAAUUUUUGUAGUUGUAUCCCUGUACAUCCAUCUUAAUAUCCUCAUUAUAUUCACAUGCCUUUUACGGGUGUUAUUUCUGGAUGCCGAAUGCUUUGCUCCACGUCUGGAUACCAAAUGCUUUGUUCCACAAAGCUGAGCUGGUUGAAAAGCUAGCUGAUGAGGUCAACACGUCCCUUAAGUAAUUUGAGGAUGAACACUGUGUUCCCGAAAGUCUUACUCUAAUGAUACUUAAAGAAGCAAUGAGAAUGGAUGUUGCAGCAGCUUUGCUGAACUCAACUCCAGUUCCAAAAAUGGAACAUGUGAAAACCGAAAAUGCAUUGUUUUUUUUUUUUUCCUCUUUAUGACUUCUCUAGUUGGGGAAUGUAUUAGAUAUUCACCUAAUCAGUAGGCCUUGAAGGGAUCCCAUGUUAGCCCCUUGAUGUUGGUCUGUAACUAAGUAAAUACUUGACCUUGAAAAAGCUUUUGGAGGCAUCAGUUUCUCUCUGACUGGUGCUACUUUUUGGAUCUGUUGAUUUGGUCAUUUGCUGAUUUAUAGUUUGUUUUCUGAUUCAGGAUGGGAUAUGGCUCCAUACAUAGAGGCAACUGAUUCACAGCAGUCGUCAUGCUUCAUUGUAAAUAUAUAUACAAUACAGCAUCAGUUUUUCUUGAUUUUAAAUCUCAUAUUCUGAAGUGGUACUUCUGAUUCUCACAUGAUUUUUCCAUCUUUCAGCUAAAGUUUUUCUGUGAUCUCUUACGUAUUAGAUGGGAAUCCACCCGCAGUCGCACAAAAGGGCGUGCUUUAGAGAUGAUGGACAAACUGGUAUGAUCUGUGAGCCUUUUCUUCUUAAAUAUUUUGUUACCUAAACCAUUUUCAUUCAAAUUGACAAGUGUUGCUUAUCAAUCUAUAGAAGAUUCCAAACUUUCUGCAGCUAGUACUUUAUUGGACCCAAAAGCUUUUUUGCUUUUUCUAAGCUGCUAAUCAGGACUAGGUUUCUCUCCCUUAUAUCGCUAGAUAUCCCAUUAAUCGUUUGAUUUAGUUGUCUAGAGAGAUUAGGUACUUGCAUCUUCGCUUUUCACUUCACAAGUGAUUUCAUGUGCUAUCCUGUAUUCUGGUUCAAGAUUUUUGAAGGUUGCUUACCAUCAUAUUUUGCUUUGUUUCAGGUUGAGGGCAUUUCUAAUUCUUCUCCCGGUGUGACUCAAAGGAUUCCCUUUUGUUAUGUGAUUUAAGUUCCAACUAUUCCUACCCUGCGAAAGUAAUACUAUUUCUUUUGCUUCUUUGAAUGAUUGUGAUUUAAUUUUCUUGUCAUUUUGCCAACUAUCAUUAUGCUGUCAUUGUUUCAUAUCUUAUUUGACAUAUGUUGAUUUGGUUAGAGUUUAAUUGCUCUGUUUAUUCUCUUUAUAAUCUGUCUAUUUCGAUUUUUCUUGAUUUUAGGGAAUAUGCUGAACUUUUAGUAAGCUGUGGCUUGAUUGGAGAGGCUAUUAAAAUUUUUGAGGAUCUGGAGUUGUGGGAUAAUCUAAUAUACUGCAACUGGUAUGAUGUCAUAGAUAACCAUUAUCCUAAUCUCUCUGUCUGUCUGUCUGUCUCUAUCUCUCUCUUUCGUGUUGCUAAUGGGAGUUGGUUUUUUGUAUGAUGUAAAAAACAGCCUAUUGGGGAAGAAAGCAGCAGCUGUUGAACUAAUAAAAGCAAGGCUGUCUGAAAAGCCUAGUGACCCUAGAUUAUGGUUGGUUAAUGAGCCUUUUCUAUGAUCCAUUUUAUAGUUACUUCUCAUUUCAGUUAAAUCCAUUGUUGAUGUCACUUAUUGCAAUCUAGGGAUAAUUGUUCAUUGGUUGUAAGGAUAUUGUCAGAAGAAAAUGAAACCUUUUAAUUUUGUCUUUUACUUGCUGUAGCCGAUUUAAAAGCUCACUGUGCGUUCUUACUGAUUGCUUUUGGUCUUGCAUUUGAGUCAAUGGAUUUUAUACUCAUAUUCUGACAUUUAUUGUUAGUCUUCUGACGGUUCUGCACCUUGGUCCUAUAUUAUCUUCAGCAGUAUUAUCUAAAAGAUAAGUUUUUGCCGAAGAAAAUUUGCAUUCUAAACUAGAAAAUGAGGGGCCGGGGGGAGGGGGGGGGGGGGGUAGGUUGGGAGGCAACGGGAGACUGUUUUCCACUUAUCCUCUUCCCUGCCUGCAUUUUAGAUGAUUUUGAUGCACCAGGUGCCGUGAAAUGGUUGAGAAAUACAUACCAUCAAGUGAAUUCUGAAAAUCAUUUCCUUUUUGAAAAUAUUUGGUGCUAGACAUUUGAAUAUAUGGCCACAAUUUAAACAAUAAAGAUUUUCUGCAUUGAUUUCUUAUAAUGGAUAGAUGCAUGUAAGUAAAAUAUGAUAUCUUUUGAUUAUUGGCCCAUUUGUUCAGAAAGAAGGAAAAAAAAAAAAAUACAUGGUUGAAAGACAACUGUUACUUGACCUUAUGAUACAUUUUGUAGGUGUUCAUUAGGUGAUGUUACAAAUAAUGAUGCCUGCUAUGAAAAAGCUUUGGAAGUUUCGAAUGAUAAGUCAGCUCGAGCUACGGUGAUAUUGUAGUUCACAUUAUGCUUGUGCCGUGAUCAUUUUUUAGUUAACAUAUCUUUAUGUGAAUCAGAGGUCUCUAGCUCGUAGUGCAUACAACAGAGGGGAGUACGAGACAUCUAAAAUCCUUUGGUAUGUUGCUUUAAUGCUUUACUUCUCUUUCUGCCACACAGUAAUUUGCUGCAUUGACAACUGAUACGGCUGAAUGACAAUUUACCCUUGGUUUUGUCUCGGGGAGGCUGCCAUGGCCUUGAAUUCUUUGUAUCCGGAUGGCUGGUUUGCUCUUGGUGCUGCUGCAUUGAAGGUAUCAUAUUUUUGUAUUAGUAUGUGUUUAGUGUGAAGCAAUUUCUUAUCCUUUUGCCCCAAGUUUCUGAAACUCUCGGCUGAAAUAUAAAUACAGGCUCGGGAUGUUGAAAAGGCUCUGGAUGGGUUUACUCGGGCUGUUCAACUUGAUCCAGACAAUGGGGAAGCUUGGAACAAUAUUGCUUGCUUGUAUGCUCUUUUCUUUGUCAUCAUGUCAUUCCAUCCUCUUGCUCUGUAUUCUUUAAUAUUGUGUCAAUCACAUUCAUCUUCUAUCUGCAAGAGUAUGCUUCCCAUAUUUGGUUUACUUUGUUUUGACUUUCUUGUUGCAGUUGUUCUAUAUAAAUUUUAUAUGGUUCCAUAUUCCCUUGAUGAGUGAAUUUAGUUGCUGCAAAUGUUAAGAACUAGAUAGUACUGUUAUAAUUAGGAAUAGGGCAAAUAUUAGCCAGCUCUUUUGAGGAUUAUCCAUAGCAUAUACCUCCGUCGUUUUCAAAGCGAUUGAAGUUCUCCCUUUUGUCUUAUUUAAAAGAAAAAAGCACAAAUUGCUUCCCUCACAUCUAUCUACAGUCUCUUUUCUCUCUGUUUAAUUUUUUCUUGUGCUUAUUAUUUGUCUUUUAAUGCAUCUUUUCUUCUUAUUUUAUACUGUACUAGAAUUUGUGCUGUCUCGAUUUUAUCUUGCAUGUGAGUUACUGUGUUUUUCGCAAUUGUAGAACUUUAUUUAGCAGCAUAAUUAUUAGUUAGUGAGACAUUAAUUGGUUAAUACCACUUGUGAAGAUACGAAGAGCUACUUAUUCUCUCUUCUAGUACAUUUAAAAAAUUCAUGACAAAAUAUCUGGGAUGGUAAAAUUCUCGUCAAUUAUAACUACGGAAGUCUUGAGAUUUAUGUAGUCUUGCAGGCAUAUGAUCAAGAAGAAGAGCAAAGAGGCUUUUACAGCAUUCAAGGAGUCCCUAAAGUUGAAGUUCUGUCUUUUUUCCCCCUGAUCACUACAUUUUUAUUUUCUGUCAUGCACAAUGCAGUCGGACACUAUCUGAUCACAAGAAAACUGUCAUACAUAAUUUGUUGCUGCUAGGCAAAAGGUGAUAUCUAAUGUAAUAACCUAUAACAUGAUUUUGUAACAGACGGAACAGUUGGCAAUUGUGGGAAAACUACAGCCAUGUUGCUUUGGAUGUGGACAAUAUUGGUCAGGUAACCGCGGUUGUGCGCUUAAUGUCCAUCAUUUAUCACUGAAAUCUUUUGAGAUGAAGCUGGCAUUUCCUUAGCCACCCUCUGAUGGUUUUGAUUGCUUCAUGUAUGUUGUCAUCUUUGUCAACUAAUGAAAGCUGCAGAGAUUUUGUCAUCUUUUCAUUUAAAAGAAUUUGAUAGUUUAUAGCCCAUUGUCAUGUUUGCAUAUGUAUGUUAUUGUUCUUUUGACCUUUUUGUACCUCAGCUUCAUCCUUUUAUGCAAGCAAUUCUUUGUCAAGAAAUAUCUGGUUAACAAUUUCUUCGCAUGAAUAUUUUUACGGUCAUCAAGGUCCUUGAACAGUCAUGGUUAAUUGAUUACAGAUUCUCAAAUUUAUAAUUAUUUUUUUCAGGGUCAUUGUCCUUUGAUAUAUGCAAUUGAUGCAUGACUUUCUAACCAUUAUCUCCCUGCCUUCACCAUGGUCGUAUAAAUAUUUUGACAAGUGGGGAUUUUAUGAUUACUGUGUGCUAGGAAUUUUUUUGGUUGGAAAGAAAUGGGAGGAUUUUUCAAGAAGCUAGGGAGGGAAGACACCAAAUUUUUUUUGGUGGAUAAAGCCUGCUGUCACUUUGGGCAUCAAUUUCUAAUGAAUGCAAUAAUGUUCCUUUCUUUGCUAUUCAUUAAAAUUGAGUUGUUCUUCUUGGAUGGCCUUCUUUUUACUUCCCAUCAUUUUGCCAGCUUGUUGAUUGUCAUUUUUGCUUGUUGGCAGUCUUUUCCUGCAGUGUUGAUAAUAUUUAAUUAUAAUAUUAGACAACAGUGUCCUCAACAUGAUCUCUCUCCCAAAUUAUUACUCUUUUAUUCAUUAUACUUUUAGCAGUUUCUUUAUUUUUGUUAUAUUUUAUGUUUUCAGGCUCUAGAGGCUGUGCAGAUGGUGUUGAACAUGACUAAUAAUAAACGAAUUGAUACUGUAUUAUUAGAAAGAAUAGUGCUAGAUAUGGAAGGAAGGACUUCAAUUAUAGAAUCUGAGUCUUGCAGGACUACCCAUAAUCUUAACAGAACUAAUAACACUUGUGCAAAAGAUUAACCUGUAGAAUCUGUCCAUGUAUCAUCACCUGAGGAGUCAAUCAUGGGAAGAUCGCGAGAAAAUGAGCACUUGAUGGAGUUUCUUGGGAAAAUUCUUCAGCAGGUUGCACAUGGCUCCAUGAUCAUCUUUUUUCUGUCUUU